UACACAAUAGGUGGAAUAGAUAGGUAAAAAAAUAACCAGCAGAUAAUGCCUCGCAUCACAAGAUAACCAGUAGCAUCCUAAGACUAACUCCUAACUAGCUAGUCUCACAAUAGUGCACUGUAGAAAUAUUCACAACUUCCCCAUAUACUACAACCUUGAUGCUCAACCUCCACAACUCCAUGUCAAGGGCCGUGUCCUCCGUAAUCCUAAGUCGUGCCAUGUCCUGCCUGAUCACCUCUCCCCAAUACUUUUUAGGUCGCCCUCUACCUCUCCUUGUGCCCACCACAAUCAGUCGCUCACAUAUCCUUAUCGGUGCAUCAGUGCUCUGCCUCUGAAUAUGCCCGAGCCAUCUGAGUCUUGCUUCCCGCAUCUUGUCUUCCAUAGGGGCCACGCCCACCUUUUUUCAAAUAUCUUCAUUCCUAAUCUUAUCCAUCCUUGUAUGCCUGGACAUCCACCUCAACAUCUUUGUCUGUGCUACUUUCAUCUUCUGGAUGUGUGAGUUCCUGACCAGCUAACAAUCAUUCUCAUACAACUUGGCAUGCCUAACCAGUGCUCUAUAAAACAUACCUUUUAGUAACGGUGUCACUUUCUUGUCACAUAGAACUCCCUAUGCUAACCUCCACUUCAUCCACUCAACCCCUAUACGAUGUGUGACAUCCUCAUCGAUCUCCCCGAUCUCCUGAAUAACCGACCCAAGGUACUUGAAACUACCCCUCUUGGGAAUGACUUGAGAGUCAAGCCUCACGUCCACUCCUGCUUCCAUCGGCUCGACCCCUAAUUUGCACCCCAAAUCAUUUACAUCAUGAAUACAUGAAUUUAUGGAAGAUAUUUAUAUUUCAAUAAAAUAUUCAAAAGAUAGAAAUAUAAGAUUUUGUGAAUUCCAUUUCGGUAAGUGUUGUGGUUAAACAUGACUUGAGGGAAUAGAACCUUUGAAUUAUUUGUUAUGUGAAUUACUUGUGUAUAACAUAUAGGCAAGGUGACAGUUGGUAUCACAGAUGUUUGCUAGAAAUUUCUGGUUCAUGGAGCCAACUUUGGAAGCUUGUAUCUCGCAACGCAUAAGGAAUCUGAAAGUUAUCAAAACAUGAAAUUCGUAGCCCUUUGAUUCUACUUUCUAGAAAGGUAAUUUGUUCAUCAUUUGGAUAUUUUUACCGAAAGUUAGUAUGCAUUGAAAGAAGUCAAAAGCAGUUUCACUAGAAAUUUCUGAUGCAUCGAGCUUGUGGAAGCUUAUAUCUCGUAAUCCAUAAGGAAUCAGAAAAUUAUCAAAACAUGAAAGUUGUAGCCCUUUGAUUCUAGUUUAACAUUUGUACAUAAAGUUAUGAUUGAGUGAAUGAAGUAUGGUGCAAUCAAGUUCUGGUGUGGUCUUUUAGUGACUAAAAAUGGAUUUUUAGUGACGGGUGAGCAGAAACUUAAGGACACAAAAUUGUCAUUUCCUUCAUUCGUUUUGGAUUUUUGGAGAAUAUUUCUUGGGCGGUUUUUGGGCCAUUUUCAUGAGAAAAAAAAUAGGGUAAGUGUUCCUUAUACUAUAUUGAUUAUAUUUUAUGAUUCCAUAAAUAUUUAUAUCAUGAAUACGUUAAUCAUUUAAACAUUUUUUGAUAAAGUUAUGAUCGAUUGAAUUAAGGAUGUUGCAUGCAAAUUCUAUUGUGGACUUUUAGUGACAGAUGACUAGAAACUUAAGGACCAAAAAAUGCUCAUUUCCUUCAUUUAGUUUUGGAUUUUUGGAGCAUGGUUCUUGCCUUUGUGUUUGUUGUUGUUAAAUUUCUCCCGUACUUGAUGGGUGCAAAGGUGAUUGUUCACAAAUCAUGCAGCACUUUGCUAUGUCAAGAGCAAGAAAGAUUCCAAAUCUUUUUUGAUGAGAUAGGUACUAUUGUUGCAAAGGUUUGACAUUGAUAUCCAAGAUCGGAAAAGGUAUGAAAACCAAGUGGCGAACAACUUGUCUCAUUUGGUGGAGGAGGGGAGGCCACAUGAUGGCCUUGAAAUCAAUAACUCCUUCCCCCAUGAGUAACUUUUCCUUUGUCAAUGAAAGAGAUGCCUUGGUUUGCGGAUUUGGAAAAUUAUCUUGUGAGGGGUAUCAUUCCGGUUGAGUUGUCAUGAGUAACUUUUUGCUUUUUCUAAGAAAGAGAUGCCUUGGUUUGCGGAUUUGGAAAAUUAUCUUGUGAGUGGUAUCAUUCCGGUUGAGUUGUCUUCAAACCAAAUCAAGAAACUCAAACGGGAUUAUCAAAAGUGCUAUUGGAAUGAACCAUAUCUUUUCUGGAUUUAUACGGAUGAAGUGAUUAGAAGAUGUGCAUCGGAGGACGAACAAAGUGAAAUUCUUUGGGCUUUCCACUCUUUGCCUAAUAGUGGUCACCAUGGUGGAGCAAGAACGGGGCCAAGAUGUUAAGUUGCGGGUUCUAUUAGCACUCUCUUCAAGGAUGCAAGUGAGCUUGUCAAGCAUUUUGAUCAAUGCCAAAGGGCGAGAGAAAUCGCAAAGAAAAAUGAAAUGCCCCUCACCACCAUCUUGCAGAUUGACAUUUUUGAUGGGGCACAAUAUUGAUUUCAUAGGUCCAUCCAUGAGUUUUUGUGGAAACACCUACAUCUUGGUCGCGGUUGAUUAUGAGUCCAAAUAGGUUGAGUUUGUUGCUUUGCCCAAAAAUGAAGCGAGUAGUACGAUGGAAUAUUUGAAGAAAAACAUCUUUAUAAGAUUUGGUACCCCAAGGGAUAUCAUAAGUGAUGGGGGUUCGCAUUUUUGGAAAAAGGCUUUCGACACGUUACUCACAAAGUAUGGUGUCACUUACAAAGGUACAACCACCUAUCAUCCUCAAGCAAGUGGUGGAAGUCUCCAACCGGGAGACAAAGAGUAUUUUGUCCAAAAUAGUGAAUGCCAACUGGAUAGAUUGGUCAAAGAGACUUGAUGAUUCUUUAUGGGCUUAUAGACGUCUAACAAAACACUAACUGGAAUGUGUCUAUACCGGUUGGUGUUUGGAAAAGCUUGCCAUCUUCCGGUGGACCUUGAGCACAAGGCCAUGUGGGCUUUGACGAAGUUGAACCUUGAGUGGGAUGUCACCGCCAACUUAAGAGUGGCACAAUGGAAUGAGUUAGAUUAGUUACAGUACCAUUCAUAUACAAGUUCAUCCUUAUACAAGGAGAAGAUUAAGAACCUCCAUGACAAGUACAUUUAGAUCAAGGAGUUCAAACAAGGUGAACUUGUGUUAUAGUUUAGUUCUCGAUUACAGAUGUUCAAUAAUGUAAUCCCCAACAGAUUGCUCUUUGUUCAUCACUAUCCAGUUUCCCGAAGUGUGUACUUCCUUAUUUGAACCACAAAGUAUUGUACAUUUGCUUAGGGAUUGCCUUGUUUUUGCCAUCCGUUGUAAAUGAUCUCCUGCGUUUUUUCCAUGCUGUCCUUGACCAUAAAUCAUCCUGAAGUAGUCAACAAGAUUUCCAAGAGAAGUUUUUAAGCCCAUUUGAACCCAAAUUCUCCAUAUGAAUUUCCAACUGUGACAUGCUGAUAAUGUAGACGUUUCAGCUAUGUCAUGUUCAGCUCCAUGCGUGUACUGUCUCUUUACUUGAUAUUGCUUUCCUUGAAUAUGGUGAUAGUUCUUUGAAAUAUAUUAUUUUGAUGCACUAAGGUUUUGUGCCCAUGAUGAACCAAAUAUACCAGAAUUACGCGCGAAAACCAGAAGUUUCCAAAGCUUAUGCCUAGUGCUGUCCGUAGUUGCCUUCUCAGGCUUGUGCUUGCCAUCGUUCCUUCUUCAAGGGAAUGAGUAUUGAGUACUAAUACCACCCAUCGAAGUCGUAGUAAAUGACAAGGCAUGAGUACAUUGACAUUUCCUGCAAAAAAAAAACAUUGUUAGUGAAAAUCUUAUAAACACCUUCUUCUCCAAAAAGAUUUGAAAAUGUUGAUCCUACUCAUGGUCAACACACUUGUUUCUGCUCCACACUCUUAUACCUUUCACGUUCCUACUUUGUUGUGUUAUAGCCAGAUUUUCCUGACUCCCUAUAUCCCUUGAUAUCUAAAUGCCUACUUCUAUACUUCAUGUUCCAUGAUGCUCAUUUCGAUUAAACGUUCUGAGAAUUGAAUCAUCUUUAGUUGCUAUGUAUUGCCCAUAAGUCAAGCUGCUACAAAGAAUAUGCAGCAGACUACCAUGCAUCUCAUGUCCAGAUACCACUAAAUGUCCAUUUCUCUAAGACGUUCUGGACUUAUCUCCAUCCUUUUUCUUAUAUAACUUCUCAUUUCUGUCUUUUGAAUGACCCUCCCUUUUAUGUGCACUACAUAUUCCUCCACCUAGCAUUUGACAUUACCCAUUUUUGUUAGACUUUCUGUUGAGUUGUCCCACAUCGGAGGGAUUUGAGGUCCUUUGUCUCUUUAUAUGGCUUGGGCAAUCCUCACCUCACAAGCUAGCUUUUGGGGUUGAGUUAGGCCCAAUGUCCAUUCUUUUCAUUGUCUGGGAAUUUUCCUCCAACUUGUUCGGUUUUUCCAUAAGAAAGACAAUGUCCAGCAAUAAGGUUCUUCCAUUGGAUUGGGUGUAAUCUAUGAGUGUUGUCUUAGCCUAUGAUAGGGUUGUUCCAAUGGGCAUUUCCAUUUCUGGUUUCCCAAGUUGACUGUAGCUCCUUGAAUGAUUUAGCAUUUCCAUGGUCCCUGCUGCCUCUACUCCUGCUACUUCUAAUUUCCUUACAAUGGGUUGAGUGUUACGCACUAAUUUCACCAUCAGGAAAUCCAUUAGAUUGUAGAGCAUAUAGGCUUCUCCUCUCCCUAAUCUUUUUUCCGUUAAUCCUUGUUGCCGUCUUCCUUUAUACUAAUUCCACCAUCUAGAAAUCCAUUAUAUUGUAGAGCAUAUAGGCUUCUCCUCUCCCUAAUCUUUUUUCCAUUAAUCCUUGUUGCCGUCUUCCUUUAUGUCUCUUUGUUGUAUUUUGUCUUGAUGAAGCAUCUCUUUAGUGUGUUCCAGUUGUUCCUAUUGUAUAGAUGCUCCAGAUUCUUGUCCAAUAUUAUUGUACCUUCCCAAUUCUAGUCUGGGUAGAUUUCUAAGUUUCAACUAUUUUUGUGAGGCUCCUAUGUGUUGUGCUAUUGUCUAGUCUUAUUCUUGUCCAAUAUUGUUGUACCUUGCCAAUUCUAGUCUGGGCAGAUAUGCAAGUUUCAACUAUUUUUAUGAGGCUCCAAUGUGUUGUGCUAUUGUCUAGUCUUAUAAACCUUCCAUUAAGUUGAAUGCUAAGCACUGAUACAACCAACAGGAAGUCUACUAGAUCACAAUCACACAUAAUGUGUACCUGCAAAACAAAAAACAAAGUUAGUAGAAAAGGGAGUCACCAUGCUCUCCUCUAUACAAAUUUGAGCAUGGUAAAUACUCUUGCGUUAUCCCCCUAUCUUCCUAUUAUCUCCCUCUCCUUCACACAUUAGUUUCUUACAACUUUGACUCUCAAAUAAGGGCAUUACAACUUGUCUUCAUUCAUUAAAUUUCUUCCUUGAGAUUCCAACUCUCCGAAACCAAAGCAUUCUAUAUCCCCUACAUCCAGAGCAUAGUUAGCUAGGUAGUCUGCAAGUUUGUUUCCUUCUCUGAAGAUGUGGGACACCUAAUUGUUGACCCCUUCCAUUAACAGCCUAAUCUCCUAAAUAUGUUCAAUGAUACCCCAAGGAGGUUUCCAUGAUCCCUUGAUCGAGUUUUUCAGCACCAUUGAAUCAGUCUGCAACCAAAUAUGUGAAUAAUUCUAGGAUUUACAAAACCUAUAAGCCUCCACAAUAGUUGUUGCUUCUGCUUCAUUAUUCGAUCCUUCUGUGAUCUCAUUUCCUAAUGCAUACCUCAGGUCUCCCAUCUUACCCCACACACAAAAUCCAAUUGAGCUUCUUCCUGGAUUUACCCUAGAGGUGCCAUCUAUGUUCACCUUUAACCACCCCUCUCUUAGGAAUUCUAAAGUGACCUUAUCAACCUUUAGCCUUGGUGUAUACCUCUCCAAAGUUGCCAGUAUAUCUUGCCAUCUUAAGGGGUACUCUAAGUCCUGGUUUUCUAUAAUGGACCAAUCGUUACAGUGUUGUUGGACUUGGUGAAUAACCCUGCUAACUGACACAGUCUCCCCAUAUGUUAAGUUGUUUCUUCUUUUCCAUAUCUCCCAUACAAUACAAGAUGGUACUGCCGUCAAUAUUGGCUUAAUUGUUUGUAUCACAUGGGUUGUCAAACACUUGGUAAUGGCCUGAUGCAUAGUCAGCCCUUCUACUGCUAUAUCUGCUCUCCUCAAAAAAUAUGUCCAUACUGUAGUAGCAGGCUUAGAUUAGAAGAACAAAUGACUCAGAGUCUCCUCCUUAGGGUCAACACAACACCAACAUCUUGAGGGCAUCGAGUAGCCCAAUCUUUUCAUGAAGCCAUCUAACGGUAAUUUGGAUUUCCACACCUUCCAUAAAAAAAAAAAUUAAAUGGAAGUACCUUUACCCAUAUCUUCUUAUAAUCUUCCUUGGGAUCAUCCCUUCUCCUUUAUAUUCCCACACUUAUUUAACAGUAAAAAUUCCUUUAGGCUCCUACAUCCAAUAUGGGGAGUCCAGUACAUUUUGAAGAACUUGAGGUUUGAUUUUUUGUAUAAUAUGCAUUGCUAGAUCUUCUAGUAGAAGCUCUAUCAGUCUAUCUAUGUCCCAUGCUCCAUUCUAUACAACUUCAAACACAUUUUGAAUACUCUCAUCAACUCCAAUGUUCUGUGGGACUAUGAAAUAUAGAGCACCCAACCCUGUCUAAUUGUCAAACCAAUACAUAGAUUACCCCAUUUUUGGCUUCCCAGAAUCUGAUGUUCAAUGAUGUCCCUGCAUUCAAGCAUUUUCCUCCAGACAUGAGUUCCUGUUCUUCAUGGAACAAUUACCGCAUUCAUCCUUUUACAGUAAUUUUGGCUUACCAAAUAACUCCAUAUACUAAGCUUUGUUCUAAAAUUCAACGACAGUUUACAUAACAAAGCCUUAGAUAAAUCAUGUAAUGAUCUAAAUCCAAUACCUCCCUCUUCAUAUGGCAUACAAAGAUUGGUCCUAGAAGCCCAAUACCUACUAGUACCUCCCACAGCACUACUCCAGAAGAAUUGAGCAAAGAUUUUGUGCAGCAUAUGAAUAACAUACUUAGGGGGAUUCACAGCUGACAAAAGAUGGAUUGGCAAGCUCUGAAGUACACUUCCUAUCAACAUUGCCUGUCCUCCAAUUGACGGCAAUUUCCAUAGGUGACUUGCUUUUGUUCACGAGCUGCCUAGAUGUAGCUUCAUAUGCAUGCAGAACCUCCACCACUAAGCGUAAUAAAGUAGCAUCUGAGGAUGUAAAAAUUAUGGUGUCGUCUGCAUAGGCUACAUGGCUGAUUUUUGGGCUCCAUUUAGGAAUACCAAAGCCACAGAAGUAUAUAUUCUGAUGCAACCAAUUCAAACCUCAAGAGAGAGCUUCUGCAGCUAGAAUUAAGAGAGUUUGUGAUAAAGGAUCACCCUGCUUGAUGCCCCUAGAUGACUUGAAGAAUCCAUAAGCCUGUCCAUGACAAACAUAGAAUACUAAUUGUUUCCUACCAAAUCAAACACCAUCCCAAUGAAUCUAUUACAAAAUCCCAUCUUUUUAGCAUUUUUGUCAGGAAUAACUAUGAAAGCGUGUCAUAUGCCUUUCUCAUGUCGAGCCUGAUCACAACAUUAGAUCUAGCCCUUGUUCUAAGCCUAAUAUCUGUGAUGAUUUGCUUGGUUAGAAGUACAUUCUCCGGCAUACUUCUUCCUUUCAGAAACCCUGCAUGUUCUUCUAAGAUCAGAUUAGGUAGAAGAUACACCAGCCUCUCUGUACUACCCUCGAGAAUAUUUUAUUAAUGAUAUUAUUGAGACUCAUAGGCCCCAAUUUUGCAAAUGUACUGACCUCUUUUUUCUUUGGCAGCAGCACUAAGUUGGUGUGUGUCACAUAUUUUGGUAGCUCGUGACCAUUGAAGAAAGCUAGCACCAUAUUAUAUAUGUCAUCCCCAACAAUAUCCCAACAUGAUUGAUAGAAGGCACCAGUGUACCCAUCAAGACCACCUGCUGAGUCCCCAUUUAGUCCAAAUACUACACUUUUAGCUUCUUUUUUUGUUGGUAAUGCUGUCAGCCUUGAAUUAUGUUCCUUUUCCAUCAAGCAAGGAACAUGAUCAAUUAUAUGUAAAGCAUUAGGAAUUACAAUUUCAGUGAAUUGGUUUUUGUAAAAUCUUAAAGCUUCAUCCGCAGUGAGCUCAUCAUCCUCUAGCCAGUUGCCCAUAUUAUCCUUAAUCCUUUUGAGUUGUAGCCUUUUUCUCAUGCCUCUCACUUGAGCAUGAAAUAACUUUUUAUUUGAUCAUCUCUGCUUGGACCUUCUGCAAUCUCUCUCUAUUUUGCUACGUAGGAUAUGCUUCGAAUUGUCUUUCAUGCACUAAUACUGCCUCUUCAAGGCAUGAAAUCUUCUGAAAAAUAUCACCAAAGGUUGUUCUGCUCCAUGAAGACAACACUUUCUUCAGCUUCUUUAUUUUGUGAUUGAACAAACCAAAUGGAUUUGUAGAAAAAUCUGCAUUCCAAUUUUCAUUUACAAAUGAUUUAAAUGCCUCGUGCUUUGUCCAAAAAUUAAGAAAUCUGAAUGGUUUCUUAAUAGGUGGGUUUCAAUAUCACAUUUUAAAAGCAUUGGGCAAUGAUCAGAUCCAGUCUUUGAUAAAUGAGUGAUCUCUAACCCUGGAAAGGUUUGUUGUUGCUCAAUCUUACCCAGGCUUCUAUCAAACCUUUUAAAUAUACAAUCAUCCUCUGAUCUACCAUUCUACCAAGUAAAAAUACUUCCAUUAAAUCCCAAAUCUGACAUGUUACAAGUAUUAAUGGAGUGUCUGAAAUCAUCUACCUCAAUUAAUGACACCGGCAAUCCUCCAAAUUUUUCUUCCUUAUCACAAAUCACAUUGAAAUCCCCCAACAAGCCAAGGAGCAGCUAUAUCUAAAGCUAUUUCAUACAAUGAAUCCCACAAUUCUAUCCUCUCAAUUGCAUCAAAUUUUGCAUACACCAAAGUUAGAAUCAAUUCUACGUGCAUUUCAGUGUGAAAUAAUUUCAAUUUCAAUUGCUACACCAUGUUGUACAGUAUAGUAACCUCAAAAACUUCAUCAAUAAAUGCCCAUAUUUUAUUUGAAACAUUCAGCACAGCCUAAGCCAAGCCUAUUAUGCUCUUAUUCCUUUCCAUUUUGCUAUACUGUUGCUUUGGUUCCAUGAUUCCUAUGAAUUGAAAAUGAUGUUGUCUAUGCAUCUUAAUCAACCUUUCAAAGGCCUGCAUUGUAUUCAAUGGCUUGACAUUCUAUAUAAUGGCAUCCAUCACUGAUUGAGUGAUUUAGUGAUGUACGAUGUUCUUCUUGUUUGAACCCCUCCUGCUAGGACAGUUGAGGCAUCUUUGAAUUGCUUUUUGUUGCUUCAUGGGCAAUAACCCAUGUGUCUUUUUCUUUUUAUUUUCCAUCUUCUUUAGAUAUGUUUUAUUUAAUGCUAACUAUUUUUAAGUGUGUUGUAGAAUAAGUGUGCUUUGCAUAGAUUGUGCUCGGAAAAAAAUUGAGUGUGGACAUCACAAAUUUGAGUGCCACAGAUUAAUGGACUCUGUGGCCGCACAAUUCUUGUGUGGACCGCACAACAGGGAAGUUAAAAAAUUACACUCUCUCUGAUGUUUUUGUGGUUGCACUAAAAAAUGUGCGGACCACAGAAUCAUCGAGCGUAGAAUAGUAUCAGGUAAUGGAAUGCGUACCACAUAUUAAAUUGUGCGGCCGUACGCACCUCUUAAACCCUUAUCGAUCUGUGAUAGUAUAAAUAGAAGCCCUUAUUCUCCAUCAAAGGCUUUACACACUCAAAACAUUCACAAAGGCAAAAGCACAGUGCACUUAUUUGAUUCAAGCAUCUCUCCCUCAUUUCAUCAUAUUGAUUCAUCCUCAGCAUCAUUUAAUUAUCGGUAUUUUAAUUUAUUUUUAUAAAAAAUUCAUUUUCUUAAUUUUGUUCUUAAUUAGCUAGUUAAUUUUAGGUCUAAUGUAUAAUCCAUCGUCAUGUGAGCUUAUUUUUGCAUGGGUAGUUGCCUACUUACCAUAUGGGGGAUGGGUAAUUUGUUUAUCAUGUCUAAAUUGCUAGUACCAUGUUUAAUUUUUUGUUAAAAGUUGGAACCCUAAGUUCAGUGCCAUUUUGUUUUGAAUUUGCGAUUCGCAGAUUAAUAGUUUAGGGCAGUUUGUGUUUGCUGAUUGGCGAACCACACUCCAAAUUGUGCGAUCCGUAGAAAUUGGACUCCGGCUGCAGAAAAGUGUGUGCGGCCACAGAUCAACCAAUUCUCUAUCUCCAGAGAGUUCACAUUCUUUAGCCUGUAUUACAUGUGGUCGCACUCAAAAAUGUGUAGACCAAAUUUCUUUACCUCCAUCUAGUGUUUCCUGCAAAUGUCUUAUAUUGUGAGUUUGAACAAAACGGAAUCCUGUUGCUAUGUAUUGCAGACAAAGGUUAUAUCUCGUAGAAGAGGUGACACAUCAAAAGACAGGGAUGAACCCUCCCGAGGCUGAGGAAGGGGUAAUAUUCCACUUGUAGUGCAAAGAGAGUUCAAACCCGAUGUCAGCGAUAAGAUCAAAGAAGAGAUGACAAAACAGUUAGAGGUGCGGGUAUGAGUGGUUCGAUACACCACAUGGUUGGCCAAUGUGGUCCCGGUACCAAAGAAAGAUGGGAAAACUCGAGUAUGUGUAGAUUACAGAGAUUUAAACAAGGAAAGUCCCAAAGACAACUUCCCUUUACCUAACAUCCACAUCCUUGGUUACACCUGUGCCAAACACGAGAUACAGUCCUUUGUAGAUUGCUACGCAGGAUACCACCAAGUGUUGAUGGAUGAGAAAAAUGUUGAGAAAACCGCCUUCACCACAAAUUGGGGGACUUACUGUUAUAUAGUUAUGCCUUUCGAUUUAAAGAACACUGGGGCGACAUAUAUGAGGGCUAUGACCACCAUUUUCCAUGACAUGAUGCAUCAGGAAAUAGAAGUGUAUGUGGAUGAUGUGAUUGUCAAGUCCAAGACUCAGGGUGAUCAUGUAAGGGACUUAAGAAAGUUCUUCGAAAGGCUUCGCAAGUAUGAUUUGAAGUUGAAUCCAGCUAGUAUGCAUUUGGGGUCCCGUAAGGCAAACUUCUAGGAUUCAUUAUCUGCCGAAGAGGAAUCGAGUUGGAUCCGACCAAGAUAAAAUGCAUUAGAGAGCUACCUCCUCCAAAAACUAAGAAGGAUCUAAUGAGCCUGCUAGGAAGACUGAAUUACAUCAGCCGAUUCAUCGCCCAGUUGACUUCCACAUACGAGCCCAUAUUCAAGCUAUUGAAAAAGGACGCAUCAAUUAAAUGGACUAGCGAGUGUCAAGAGGCUUUCGACAGAAUCAAACACUACCUGUCCAACCUACCAGUCUUGGUCCCGCCGGAACCGGAAAAGACAUUGUUUCUUUAUCUAGCAGUCCUAGAGAGCUCUUUCUAUUGUAUUCUCGGGCAGCAUGACGCCACGGGAAAGAAGGAGCAAGCCAUCUAUUAUUUAAGCAAGAAGUUUUCUAGUUACGAGGCCAAGUACACACUGCUCGAAAGAACCUGUUGUGCCUUGACGUGGGUGGCCCAGAAGUUGAGGCAUUACCUGCAUGCCCACACCACCUAUCUCCUAGCCAGGCUGGACCCAUUGAGGUAUAUAUUCCAAAAACCGAUGCCCAAAGAGCGAUUAGAAAAAAUGGCAAAUCCUGAUCACCGAGUUCGACAUAGUUUAUGUCACUCGUACUGCAAUGAAUGCUCAAGCAUUAGCAGAUCAUCUGACCAAGAAUCCAGUUGAAGAUGAAUAUCAGCCUUUGAACACCUAUUUCCCUGAUGAAGAAGUGAAUUCAGUGGAAGUAACAUCUGAAGACAUCCCCGCUUGGAGAAUAUUCUUCGACGGAGCAGUAAACGCAAAAGGCGUGGGGAUUGGGGCAAUUUUAAUCUUACCCACGGGUCAGGAUUACCUGGCUACAGCAAGAUUCCGGUUUAUCUGCACCAAUAAUACAACUGAAUACGAGGCUUGCAUCAUGGGCAUGAACAUGGCCAUUGACCAAGAUGUUGAGGAAUUGCUAAUCAUCGGGGAUUCAGAUUUGAUCAUCCCANNNNNNNNNNNNNNNNNNNNNNNNNNNNNNNNNNNNNNNNNNNNNNNNNNNNNNNNNNNNNNNNNNNNNNNNNNNNNNNNNNCCCGACAGGCUCAAGGAGAGUGGGAAACAAGAGAUGUUAAACUCAUCCCCUAUAGACAACAUGUGGAGGAUCUUAGAAAACGUUUCAGGUCGUUACAAUUUAGGUACAUUCCUCGUUGUCACAAUGAGCUAGCAGAUGCGCUCACAACUCUGCCUUCCAUGUUGCCUUACCCCGGAAACGCUUACGUUGAUCCUUUGGAAAUCCAAAUCAAAGAAAGGCAUGGGCAUUGUAAUGUGACCGAGGCAGAGUCCGGCACCCAGACCUGGUAUCAUGAUCAAGAGAUUUCUGAAAACACAAGAGUAUCCCAAGCAUGCUACAGGGGCAAAAGAAAACAAUUUGACGGCACGUGAGUAAUUUCUUCUUGAGUGGUGAUACUUUAUACAAAAGGACCCCAGAUCUCAACUUGCUGAGAUGUGUUGACACUGAGGAAGCCGGUAGAAUUAUGCAUGAAGUACACGCAGGAGUGUAUGGACCUCAUAUGAAUGGAUAUGUACUAGCAAAAAGAAAAACUUCGGGCAGGAUAAUACUGGAUAACUAUGGAGAAAGACUGCUUCAGCUUCGUACGAAAAUUUCAUCAAUGUCAGGUACAUGGUGAUUUGAUUCAUGCACCACCAACCGAAUUGCAUCCUAUGUCAGCACCCUGGAUAUUCGCUGCCUAGGGCAUGGAUGUCAUUCGGCCGAUUGAGCUAAAAGCCUCGAAUGGACAUAGAUUCAUAUUGGUUGCAAUUCACUACUUCACAAAAUGGGUUGAAGCCAUCACUCUUAAAUCCGUCACCAAGAAAGCUGUGGUAGAUUUUGUGCAUUCCAAUAUCAUUUGUCGUUUUGGGAUUCCCUCAACCAUCAACAAAAUGGGUUGAAGCCAUCACUCUUAAAUCCGUCACCAAGAAAGCUGUGGUAGAUUUUGUGCAUUCCAACAUCAUUUACCGUUUCGGUAUUCGCGUAAUAAUGAUACGACAGCGCAACCAAUAUGAGCAAUCCCCUGAUGGGAGAAAUAUGUGAACAAUUUAAGAUAACACAUAGAAACUCCACCCCUUACCUAUCCAAAGCUAAUGGUUCCGUUGAAGCAGCUAACAAGAACAUUAAGAAAUUUUUGAGAAAAAUGAUUCAAAGCUCAAGAAAAUGGCAUGAAAAGCUGCCUUUUACAUUGCUGGGAUAUCACACUACGGUGUGUACAUCGGUAGGGGCAACUCUGUAUUUAAUGGUCUAUGGGACUGAAGCUGUCAUACCCGUGAAGGUAGAAAUUCCUUCACUCUGAGUAAUCGUUGAAGCAGAAACUAAGGAUAGCGAAUGGGUUAAAACUCGUUUGGAGCAGCUUUCAUUAAUUGAUGAAAAACGAAUGGCUGCGGUUUGUCACGGGAAGUUAUGCAACAAAGAAUGACUCGCGCUUAUAAUAAGAAAGUGCGCCCUAGGAAGUUUGAAGCCGGACAGCGGGUAUUGAGGCGUAUACUCUCUCACCAUCAGGAAGUCAAAGGAAAAUUCGCUCCGAACUGGAAAGGUCCGUAUAUUAUCAGAUAGAUAUUAACCAAAGGAUCAUUGUACCUGGGUGACGUCAAAGGGGAAGAGCCCGGUACAGCCGUAAACACAGAUGCAGUAAAAAAGUAAUACGUUUGAACACUUUGCUGCAACGAUUCUAGUAGGUCAAAAUGACGAAGGCUUUCUUUCUCACUAUCCUAUAUCACUACCAAUCCCUUAAAAACCCCUUGAGCCGAUUGCAUGUCCUUGUUUACCCCUUUUGGAACCCAGAAUUGCUAUUCAAAAAAAAAUGAAUGAUGAAAAAAAAGAGAGAAGAAAAUGAAUGAUUGAAAACAAAAGAAACAACAAACAAAUUAGUUUAGGAAACACUUCGUGAACUGUGUUUGACUUGAUUCCAAAAGGAUACGUAGGCAUCAUCUCUCUGAGGUUCAAUCAUAACAAAAUAAAACUCCAGUUCCCGAAGAAAUAUAAUUUGGGCAGAAAUGUAAUAAAUCGGCCAUAAACCCUCCAGAAUGGUUCCAAAGUUGUAUACAUCCAUCCGACUUCCUUUGCUCAAGAGCCCAAUCCAAGUCUUUCCGAUCAAUUUUCCAAAACAAGGAUGGGUUAAACACUGUUGCUGGGGUUCGGCACAUUUCAAAUUGAGAGAAAUAAAAUGAGAGAGCCUUAUCGGUGAAAACCUUCCGGCACCAUAAGGCGACGGUGAGCAGAGAAAAAUAAAAUUAGAGAGUCUGUUUAGUGAAAACUUGCAAAGAGCAUUAUCGGAUGACGGGAGAAAAUAAAUGAGAGGCCGAUUGGCGAAAACCCGCAAAAGGGCGUCGUCGGCUAAAAAGAGGAAAUAUCACUACCCCAAGCUUGAACAGGUUUCCAUAGUUUUGGAAGAUUGAAAUCAAAAAGCAGAAAUGGAUCUGAGACGGGCAUCUAGUCUAAGAAGCAUGUCUAUUCCAAUUAAAGUCGGCACGCACUCCCAGAUAAGUCCUCCCUUUACCCCAAAAGAGACAUACCUCUCUAAUUCCAUGUGUUUGCUUUUGUUGUUUUUGCCACUCCUUUUCUUUUUAACUUUGAUGUUCUGACCAUUCCUCAAGAGAAGGUAGCAAGACCGGUCUCACGGGUUUUCUCCUGGCAAGAACUAAAAGGAAUAUCUGGUAUCAGUGAGCGCAUUUAGCUAAUCUUGACUGAUCAUGACAGCGGAUGCGUCAAAAAGCAGGAAAGCAGAGAGAAAAGAAAUUCAAAGUCACGAAGGCGAAAAAAGAUCGGAAAGGUUAAGCCCAAGCGGGUUAAUGAUUCCUACAAAAGUUCCCAAAAGAAGAGCGCCGAAGUGGAAUUCGGGACAAAAUCAUAACCAAGGGCCUGUAAAACAAAAAAACAAAUCUGAAAGAUGAGAAUCCCCCGACCAGCCUACGAGGAAAAGAUCGGAAAUUAAGGGUUUCCUCCAACAGAAAUGAGGUUGCAAUCAAUCAAAACAAAGCCACAAACCAAUCAAUGUUCAAAUUAACAAAUUGCUCUAUUUUUGAAUUAAAAUUUGAAACAUGUGUAAUAGAAAAACAAUGGGAACACAUGGCAAAUGCAAUCAAGGAGUAGCACAAGGGCCAAGAAUAGUGUUGCAUCAAAGACCAGCAAAAGGGGAAGGUUAUUUACAUCUUUUCAUGCAGUUUCAUAAAUAAACGUGGUAGCAUGGGACUCCAACCCUUGACUCCUUCCCUGGAUUUAAGGCCAUACCCCUAGCCUUCCCAUGUGCAACUUCUGGACUUCAUUGGCAUAACCCAAGGAUCGCACGCCAUUCUCCCUAGCUCAGACCAAGAAAUUUCUUUAUUUUACUCCCCGGCAUAAUCUGGGGGUUUCUCUUUAUAUCCCCUGCAUAAUCUAGGGAGCCAUUUCCUCUUCCUGCCCCAGCAUAAUCUGAGGACCCCCAUUUCCACCUUUAUUCCCCAGCAUAGUCUAAGAGAUAAAGCUCUUCUUUCCUUAGCAUAACUUAAGGGUCUUUCCUUCCUUUCUUUAUACCCAACAUGGUCAAAAGGAUCUCUGUCGCAUUUCACUUCCUUCAAUCCCCUGGCAAAACCCAGGAGUUUUUCUUUCAAUCCCGGCAUAACCCGCGGAUUCCCCUGGCAUAACCUAGGAGUUUUUUUUCCAUCCCGGCAUAACCCGUGGAUCUCCCUAGCAUAACAUAGGAGUUUUUCAUUCAAUCCCGACAUAGCCCGUGGAACUCCCUAACAUAACCUAGGAGUUUUUCUUUCAAUCCAGCAUAACCCGCGGAUUCCCCUGGCAUAACCCAGGAGUUUUUAUUUCAAUCCCAGCAUAACCCGCGGAUUCCCCUCGCAUAACCCAUGAAUUUUCCAUUCAAUCUCGGCAUAACCCGCGGAUUCCCCUAGCAUUAUCCAGGAGCUUUUCUUUCAAUCCUGACAUAACUCGUGGAUCUCCCUAGCAUAACCUAGGAGUUUUUCUUUCAAACCCGGCAUAACCCGCGGAUUCCCUUGGCAUAACCCAUGAAUUUUCCAUUCAAUUCCGGCAUAACCCGUGGACCUCCCUAGCAUAACCUAGUAGUUUUUCUUUCAAUCCCGGCAUAACCCGCUGAUUCCCCUUGCAUAGCCCAGGAAUUUUCCAUUCAAUCCCGACAUAACCCGUGGACCUCCCUAGCACAACCUAGAAGUUUUCCUUUCAAUCCUGGAAUAACUCGCGAAUCUCCCUAACAUAACCUUGGAGCUUUUCUUUCAAUCCCGGCAUGACCUAUGUAUUCCUCUGCAUAACCAACGAAUUUUCCAUUCAAUCUUGGCAUAACCCAGGAAGUUUUUUUUCAUUACAUCUCGUCAUAACCCGUGGAUUUUUCCUUUCAUCCACAGUAAGGACCCCUCAUUCCUAUGCUGGCAUAACCCGUGGAUCCUCAUCUUACCCCCAGCAGGGACCCUUCAUUCCUAUCCCGGCAUAACCCAUGGAUACUCCUCUUAUCCCUCGCAGGGACCCUUUCUCCUUCCUAGGAUAACUUGACAAUCAUUCCAAAGGAUACAAAAUCCUGACUUUUAUUGUUUGCAAUAUAUAUAUAGCUUAGAUUAGUGUUUCAAAUAACUCACAAAAGUUUUCCGGUGAAAAAUGGGCAAAAAAUUUCGUGCGUUGGUUUGUUUUAAUGUCCGAGCAGGUUUUACUUCAAGGCACAGGAUUCGAGAUAAACGAAAGAUUGAGUCUCAAUCAAGAAUAAGGAAAAGAGGAAAAGAAUAAAAAGAAGUGAAUCUAAAAUGAUGAAGAGGACAUAGAUGCAGACUGCUCAAAAUUUGAUUGAAAUCACAAGCUCCGCCUAUCCCGCUUUGUUUCAAAAUCGAAGAAUAAACCAGCGGUUGCAGCUAAGGAGCAUUAGGAUUCAGAUCGGAGUCUGCUACUAGAGCUAGCCAAGACUCAAGAUCAAGUUACAAGAGACUCAUUGAUAGGAAUCUUGUAACUCGUAGUUCAUAGGCCUAGCUAACUUAGCUGUUGAUUUUCUUUUUGUUUAAUAAGGAGUCAGUAAGCAGUAGCAGCAGCAACAACAGUGAAAUCAUAGCCCAUGGUAGUACCAGCUACUAAACAUUCCAGAACUAAAAUGACCUGAUUCCUUUAUCGCCAAGGAUAUGUAGGCAACCUUUGAAGCAAGGUUCGGUCAGACAUCUUUUCGAAAUGCUUCUCCUGGAGUUUUGAGUAGGCAAAAAUCCUAAGUUCCCUCAUCUGAGAAAUAUGUGAACAAUUUAUUUGAAGCAAGGUUCGGUCAGACAUCUUUUCAAAAUGCUUCUCCUGGAGUUUUGAUUAGGCAAAAAUCCUACAUAGCGCUCAUUUAUCUUUGACCGAAAACCCUUCGUGUUUCCGGACAAAGAGGGGCAGCUGUGAGCACGUGAUUUUUGCCUCGUUAAAAUUACUCCUACAGAAUUCUCAAACAUAGGAUUUCUCCUUUUUAUUAUUUAUUAUUAGGAUUUAAUUGCGAUAUUAGUGUGUAUUUUCAUUAGUGCAUGCAUGACAAGUCAUAAAAAAUAUAAAAAAAUUACAUAAGCAUUUAGGAUGUGAUUUCACAUAUUUUUGUUAGAAUUAAUUGGUAAUUAAUGUUUCAUUUUGCGAAAUUUAAAAAUCACAAAAAUAAGUAGUUUAUAUUAACGUUAUUUAAUUUGUAGCUUCAAAAUUGUUAAUUUUCAUAUUUGUUUAGUUUAGGUGGUUGUUAGCCUAAUCUAGUUGAAUUUAGUCUAAUAAGAAUUUAAAAAUAAAAUUAGGAAUUUUAAAAAAUAAAAAGGAAAAAAGAAGUAGGAAGUAAAGUGAAUUAAAAUAGGCUGGCCACAAUUGGGCAAAGUCUGGGUGGCCCAAAUCCCCCUUACCCGUGUAAAAAAACCCAAAACUGGCCCAAACCCAUCUCUGACCUAAGUUGAUGUGAGAGACGCCCCAAAACGACGUCGUUUUGGGGCUAUUAAUCUCAACCAUUCUUCAACAAUGAUCCAACGGUCUGGGUUCGAUGAGAUCAUUGCAUAAAAAGGUCUGAAUCUGACCAAAUACUAUAGACAUACACUUUCUUCCUCGUACCUUCCAUCUCCAUCGAUACACCACCGUAUAACCGUCAGCUAUAAAUCGUCUCCACCGGCGGCAGAGCUCUGAUACCGCCCAAAAAUACACCACCGACUCAUCGUGUCCUCCUCUUUCCGAUGUCCUAAUAAACAACCCUCAAAUGUGAGCCAAUAGUCUCGAAUAUUAGGAUCUUUGGGCACCGCCUCCGCCGUCGCCGGAACCCUUCCAAAAUAACAACAUAUGUUCCUUACCCCAUCCCCAUAACGAAUCCAUGGUCAUAUUCCUCCAAACCCCUACCCAUCGCUUCGAAUAUUAAAUCAAAACACUGACCAAAACUCCAACCCCACCAGAAUCCUUUGAAAAUGAUGCUAGGUGACUUCCUCACCUUCCCCUCAACAAAUCCACAACCAACAGCCUUCAAAUACAACCAGAACCUGGCCAAAAAUCAGAUCAAAAAAUGAUUUGAAACACAGACCCACCCCAAACUGACCAACCCUACACCUGAUACUCUCCACCCUCUCAAAUGAUGGCACAAGGGUACGAAAAGGCCGAAGACCCUCCCAGAAAUGGUCGAAAACCAUGAGGCGUGAAAGGUCCAAAUUUUUAGGGUUGUAGUGUUAAGCUAAGUACCCUGUCUUCUUUUGAUUGCUUUUAACUUCUCUUUGUUUUCGUUUGUGUAAGUACAUGAAUUUUCUAUUUUCUCAUAUGUGAAAAAUUCUGAUUAGUUUCUUUGUUUCCAUUCAGAAUCAUAUGCUUUUUGUUUAAGUCUUGAUAACAUGUUCUGAAUGGUCCUCUUACCUAUUGAAGUAAUAGAUGCUCCUUGAUUAAUUUGAAUUAUCAUGCUAAGCUCAAAAUUGUUCAUCUCUGGUUUAACUUUCCCGUUUUGUUUCAAUUUGAUCAAUGUUCAGUUAUGAUAAACUUUAUGUUUGUUUCUGAAGUUUGUCUUGUUUGCUCUAUCUUUGCUUAUGAUCAAUUCAGUCCAAUAUUUUGGUACUUGUCUAAAUCCGCCUGUAUAUAUGUGUAUCAUUGACCUAUUACUUAUCAAUUUUUGACCAUUUUUUUUGCUUUUAAUAGUGCAGUGUACUCUUCAAUUUGAUAAUUAGUUAUGCCCGGUGUUUUUUAAAUUUUGACCAUAUUUUGUUUGCUUUUAAUAGUAUAGCGUAGUCUUUAAUUAGAUAUUUAGUUAUGCCCAGCUCUCUUUAAAACUCGACCUCAACCGAUAAUGAAACCCUGGUUCAUGGCCUUGCAUAGUUAACUAGGGUCACUUACUGACCAAACGGAUAGGCACCAGGGUAAAAACAUUUAGGCCAGUAAUUAAGAAGGAAAUACAGGGGUAACAGGGGUAUUUAGGGCAUAAGAAUCUUGUUACAAACCCCUGGAACCUUCUAGUGGAGGUUUGUAAUGCAAUUUCUGUUAAUUCUUUCUCAAAUCUUGAGGCACAAGUUAAAAAACAAGGGAUCAAUUAAUAAAAUCUGAGAAUGGGGAAGGGUCUAAUAAGAAGACAAGAAGAAAUUGUUGCCCUAAGGCCUUGUCUAUAAAAGGGUUUCCUAUCGUUUUAGAAAGGGGGAUUUCUUUUUAAGAUAAGAGGUCGAGAACACCAUCUGAAAACAAAUCCCCUGAAAUAUACAAAAAAUUUUCUGGCAAAAACCUUCUAAAAUAACCAGAAUUCUGUUUAUUGUCAGAAGAAGAGGGCUUGAGGCAUAUGCAUUUUAGGGCGUUAGAGUUUCCAAGAGCUACUUGAGUCAGUGAUCUUAGGCUGGUUUGCUUUGUUCAAGCUAUAGGAUCGAAUCUUGUGCUAUUGUUGAUCUUUAAAAGCCUUCCUGUAUUUCCUGACACUCCUGGGUCUUAAUUGAUUGAUCUGCUGCUGUUUGUUGCUCCUCACAUACCUUACUCAUAUGCGUUUCUUUUUUGCUUUAAUUCCAGGUACCUACUCUCACUCAGGAAAAUCUGGAAAUAUACAGCGGUAUAUAUGCAUAGUCAUAUUUGAUAAUGAAGACAUUUAUAUUUUUAUGUUAAUGUUGUAAUAUAAGUGUUACUAGUUUAGUAGUAUUUAGGAUAUUUAUCUUAUCUUUGGUGCUGUAAUAUGUAUGAACAUCUAAACUAUGCCUGACUGUAUUUGGAUAGUGAACUUUAAUUUGUUUAAAUUUCAGUAGGUUUACAAUAUGGUAGUCAAUAACCUGCCUAAAUUUCAUGUUUGACUUGGUAAUAGGGAGUCAUUAUAUGUAUAUGUACUCUGAUUGAUGAGUACAUUAGUUUUAGAUGCUAAAUUCGAAACCAGAAGUUGUGGCUUAUUGAUUUACUAACAUGAAAAAUCACUACUGGGAUUUCUUUCUUUCAAAUGUCUUUAAUAUGUUAAAUAAUCACAUCAACAGCUGCAGUGCAGCGACUUGGGAAAUGCCAUCCUUUCCUUAUGAAUAAUUCGUAAUAGCAAAUUUCUGGGCUCAAUGGAAGGGCCCAAUUAUUAUGAAAUGUGAUGAAUGUACUUUUGGGAUAUCUAUUUUCAUUGAUGAAGGCCAAUUGCAGAAAUCCGUUAUACAAAUGCUAAACAUAUGCAUAUUAAUUGUUUCAUUUGAACAAACCAUUAAGAUAUGAAUUAAUUAUGACUUCUUUUUAUUUUUUAUUUUUUAGAGACACGUAUAACAGAAAAUUAUAGUUUCUUUAGGUUGCCUUUUCUCAAAGAAAAUAAAAUGAGUGUGCCACGCUAAAGAGAAUCAUACGCUGCGUGACCCUUUAAUUGAAAUAAAAUACUUAGAAAUUUGGGAGAUACCGCUUAGUGAAUUUCACGGUUUUUCCAUGAAGUUAAAAACGCGUAGUUGCUUUAGGCGCGUUGUUUUAAAAAUGUGUCUUCCUAAAUUCGAGUGCGCAUUUACGUGACAGAAAUACAAGUUUCAAUGGCGUUAAAUUGUGUCAAGAACCCGGGUGCAUUUAUGUGACGUGGUUCGAGACGUGUUUUAAUAACGUUGCAAAUAUUCCUAAAAAUGAAUAAAGCGGUUAAUAAUUUGAAAAUUGCACUGUAGGAUAAGCAUGUAUAAAAAUUCAAGAAAUUGGCCAUUUAUAAUUGUCUAAGUGACCGUGCUAGAACCACGGAAUCCGAGGGUGCCUAACACCUUCCCUCAGAUUAACAGAAUUCCUUAAGAAUUUCUGGUUCGCAAACUCCAAUUGGGUAGUCAAAAAAUUUCCUAGAUUUGGGAUCUUUAAUAAACAGGUGACUAGGGAAACCAAAGGCCAAACCUAUCCCAAGUGGCGACUCUAUAAAUAAAUAAACCCAUUUUGAAUAAAUGUAACUUUAAUUGGAAAAACUCCCUAAUAUGUUUAUCCUUCGGGGUAGCCGUGUGAAAAAGGAUGUGUGACACCGAUCCUACAAUAUAAAUCAAUACUCGGCUCUCGGCAUCACUCAGACAAUAGUCUCCAGUCUCAUACAGAUAGGUUAAGAUGUAAUCAUGCAAGCCCGAACAAUGAUAUGAUAUGUCACAUAGAAAUAACCGAUACUGAGGCAUGAUAUAGUAUGCAUGAACAUGACUGAGUAUAGAGUAUACUUGAAUCUAAUUACAUGAUAGCAAGAAAAAACCUCUUGGGUAUCAACAGUGUCAGUAUGAAGCCUUAACAUGAUCAUUAACAUGAUUUACAGCUCAACAGCAAGAUCUAAUAAUCAUAGAACAUAUAUCGAUAAUAACUAACCACUAAGUGGCAUUCUUGAAUGAUUCAGGCCGCACUUCUCACGUUGUAGGCUCAUACGCCUGUCACUUGGCAUAACGUCACCUUCAUAGAAAUCAUUGAACACAUAUAUUGGAGUUUCCAACCAGCAGUACCAAGGUAGAAAGCGUUACUUACCUCAAGCCAAGCUAAAAUAUUAAUCUGUGAUGCGUUUUCCACUCGAAUCAACCUCCAAUUACCUCGAAUUUAAUCAAAAUCAGUAUAUAACCAUAAACAUAUGCCAAGGGAACAAAGUCUACUCGAAAGUAAUUGAAGUACAACACCUGAAAUUAACAAAACCUGACCCUCAAGCCCACGUCUCGGAAUUGAAUAAAAUUUACAUAAAUAGACUCCAUAUCUCCCCACAAGUCCAUACAUUUAAAAAGUAUUAAAAUCUUGCCACAAAUGACCCCUCAAAUCCUUGCUCAAAGGUCUCCAAUCUCAAGCCCUAGUUUCCCAAUUUUAACCCUUAAUUUCCAUUAAUUUUCAAGUCAAAUAAGUGAAAUAACACCUUAGAAACGAGAUUUAGGUGGAAAAACCCUACCUCUAUGAAAUCUCCUUGAAAUCCCUCUUCAAAUAGCUCCCUCAACCCCGAAUGGAAAUGUUGAAGAACAACUAAAAAAACACAUACCUUCUAACCCAGACUUUUCGCACCUAUGGUCCAAAUCCCGCUCCCGUGACCCCACUUUUGUGGUCUUAACCACUGCACCUGCAAUUUUCACUUAAAUCCCCAAAGUUAUAUCUGCGAUCAAAUAAUUGCACAUGCGCCAUAGCAGGUGCAUUCAGCACUCCACAUCAGCGGCUCAUUCCCUUCACAUCCUUGACCGCAUCUGUGGUCCUUUCAUCACACCUGCAGUGUCGCACCUGCGGUCCCCAAUAAGUAGGUGUAUAAAUAUCAGAAGCAGAAAAUUCUGCAACUUCUCCAAAACAUCAAACUCUUCAUCAACAGUCCGAAAUCACCCCGAGACCUCAACCAAAAACACCAUCAAGAAAAGAAAUCUCCUAAAAACCAAAAUUAGAAUAAAAAUGAAAAUUAAACUAUCUUUGAAUUUCCUUUUUUCAUAAAAAUGAUGUAAUUACUUAGUAAUUCUUAAAAAUGCAAAAUGACUCCUAUAUGCACAUGCCAUAUAUUUUGUAUUUUUCACUAAUUAAGAUAAAAAAAAUAUGCACAAAAAAAUGCAAACCAUUGAUAGAAAAUGCCACGAAAAUCAAAAUUGCAAACAAACAAAAGAAGUUAUUUUAUUUUGAAUUUAUAGGAGUAAAUUGCGUAGGGCAAAAAACACAUGCUCACAGUGGUUAUCGUGGAACUAGGCCAGCCACUUAUUUUCUUUUACCCAUUUUAUCCAAUUUUACUUAAAAUAACAUCACUUUUAAAUGCAUAAUUUAAUAAUAAUAAUAAAAAUGUCAAAACAACGGAAUGAAACACAAAUCCUGACCUUGGGUUUCACUAGUCAUGAGCAAAACCAAUAGGAUUGUCUAAAAUACAAAUCUAGAAUAUUCUGAAUACAUCCAAUAAUAAAAACUAGAGGAAGAUAUGGAAGGAAAAGGCGGAACUACGGUCACCAAGCAGCUACCUCGCAAUCUUCGAUGAAGUGCGCAUAUUAAAGAUCACCAACCGAUAUUGUUCCCUGAGAUACUUGGGUCUGCGCACAGAGGUGCAGGGGGUAGCGUGAGUACACCAACUCAUAAGUAAUAACCCAAACCUAUGGACUGAUAGGUAGUGACAGACCAAACCUCAAUAGGCAAUUUAGCAGUUAACGGAACAUAAAUGUUGACAUGUUUACAGUUCAAAUAAAACUCAACAGUAAUAGAAACAAGUGAUCAAUAAUAAGUUCAAUACUUAGAGAUUACGUAUACGUACCAAUGCACAACUAGAAUGAUCAAUGUUCCCAGAAACUCCACUAAUAAGUAAUCAACCACUCGGUACUGUAUAUGGCCAUCCGACCCAGGGAAGUUCAAUCCGAAAUAUACAUCACUAACUGUAGUCAUCCAGUACCAAGGACACAUGCCAAUCAUGCCUCACAGAAAAUAUCCAUCUCCCCGUAUAAUGCUUCGGACAAAUCCAUGUCCAGGGAAAUUCAUCGCUCAGUAUGGUACUUCGGACAAAUCCAUCCCUUAGUAUAAUACAUCAGACAAAUCCUUCUCCAGGGAAAUGACCAAAAAAUUUCCAUGGAAAUGAACCUUUAGCGACGGAUAGGCAAAAAUGUAAGGAUAAAAAAUUGUCACUUCCUUCAUUUUGUUUUGGAUUUUCGAAGCAUGGUUCUGGGGCGAUUUUUGUGGGAAAACAUUGGGGUUUGUGUUCCUUAUCCUAUUGAUUAUAUUUCAUGAUUCCAUACUCACUUACAUCAUGAGUUUGUGAAUUUAUGGAAGAAAAAUCAAAUUUUUAUAAAAUCUUCAAAAACAAAAAUUUUAGAUUUGAAAGCCAAUCUGAUGUUCCAUAUACUAUAUUGAUUAGAAACGGAUAGAAACUUAAGGACUAAAAAUUGUCAUUUCCUUCAUUUCGUUUUGGAUUUUUGGAGCACGAUUCUUGGGCUAUUUUUUGGCGAUUUUCAAUGGAAAACAAUUGGAUAGGUGUUCCAUAUCCUCUAUUGAUUAUAUUUUAUGAUUCCUACUCAUUUAAAUCAUUAAUCCAUGAAUUAAUGGAAAAAUUAGAUUUUUAUAAAAUCUUCAAAAAAUAAAAAUAUAAGAUUUGAAAGUUAGUCUAGUGUGAAAAUUUGAUAAUUUUUUUUGUUGAACUCGUAUCAGAAAGGGUGUUCAGAUUUCGUUAGUUUUGCCAAAUGAGGAAAGAGUCGUCUUUGACCUCGACUUGAGGAAAUAUAAUCCUUAAACAUUUGUUAUGUAAAUUCUCUGUGUACAACAUAAAGGCAAGGAGAUAAUUGGUAUCAAAGUUGUUCACCAAAAACUUCUGGUUUGUGAAGACAACAUUGAAGUCUUAUAUCUCACAAUCUGUGAGGAAUCAUAAAAUUAUAAAAACACAAAAGUUUUGGCACUUUGAUUCUAGUUUCCGAAAAUUUAAACCAUUCAUCAUAUGGAUAUUUGUACACAAAGUUAUGACGGAUUGCAUUAAGGAUGAUAAAGUAAUUUCGCUAGAAAUUUCUGAUGCGUGACUUUGGAAGCUUAUAUUUCGCAAUCCAUAAGGAAUAAAAAAGUUGUCGAGACAUAAAAGUUGUGGCCCUUUGAUUCUAGUUUCCAUAAAAGUUAAUAUAUUCAUCAUUUAAACAUUUGUACAUAAAGUUAUGAUCAAUUGAAUAAAGGCUUGUGUAAGCACGUUUUGAUGUGAAUUUUUAGUGACAGACAUGGACCUUUAGUGACGGAUGGACAGAAACAUAAGGACCAAAAAUUGUCAUUUCCUUCAUUUCAUUUUGGAUUUUUCGAGCAAAAUUCUUGGGCUAUUUUUGUGGGUAAAGAUUGUUGUAUGUGUCCCUUAUCCUAUAUCAAUUAUAUUUCAUGAUUCCAUAUUCUUUUACAUCAUGAAUCCGUUAAUUUAUGGAAGAAAAAUAAGAAUUUAAUAAAAUCUUCCAGAAAUAAAAAUUUAAGAUUUGAAAGUAAAUAUGAUGUCUGAAUUUAAUAAAUUUUGUACCGUAAACUCAUGUCGGAACGGGUGUUCGGAUUUCAUGAGUCUUUUUAGAAUUCGAGCAAUUUAAUAAAUUUUGUACCGUGAACUCGUGUCGGAACGGGUGUUCGGAUUUCAUGAGUCUUUUUAGAAUUCGAUACAUGCGUUCCACUAUCAUAUGUUUAAUUAAUUUGUAAUUUUAGUCAAGAAAAUUAGUAAAUUUAUGUGGAAUUAAAUUUCAUGAUUUAUAUUGAGUAUAUCGAAUUGUUUAUCUCUAUAUUUGAGGCUUUCAAAUACAGAUUUACGAUAUAGAAAUUUAUUGGAAUCUUGAAUUUGGUUGCGAAGGAAGGCAAGUAUCAUAGUUAACCUUGAAUUGAGGCAAUAAAACCCUUGAAUUAUUUGUUAUUUGAAUUCCAUGUGUACGAUAUAAAGGAAAAGUGGUAGUUGGUAUCAGAGCAAUUCGCUAGAAAUUUCUAGUGUAUGGAGCCAACUUUGGAAGUUUAUAUAUCUCAAUCCCUAUGGGAUCUGAAGAUUAUCAAAAACAUGAAAGUUAUAGCCCUUUGGUUCUAUGUUCCGGAAAGUUAAAUCAUUCAUCAUUUAGAAAUUUGUACAUAAUAUUAUGAUGGAAUGAAAGAAGCUGGUAAAUAAAUUUUUCUAUAAAUUUUUUAUGUGUGUAGUCGGCUUUGGAAGCUUAUAUCUCGUAAUUUAUAAAGAAUCAGAAAAUUAUCAAAACAUGAAAGUUGUGGCCCUUUGAUUCUCGUGUUCAGAAAAUUAAACCAUUAAUCAUUUAAUGUUAGUACAUAAAGUUAUGAUAGACUGAAAGAAGGCUGUUGCAUACAAGUUACAGUGUGGAUUUUUGGUGACUGAAAAUUGACUUUUAGUAAUGGAAAAUGGACUUUUUAGCGACGGACGGGCAGAAACUUAAUGACCAAAAAUUUACAUUGCUCUCAUUUCAUUUUGGAUUUUAAGAGGACGAUUCAUGGGCGAUUUUCAAGGGAAAACAAUUGGGUACGUGCUCAUGUUUCCUAUAUUGAUUAUAUUUUAUGAUUCCAUACUCAUUUAAAUCAAAAAUCCCUGAAUUCAUGGACAAAAAUCAGAUUUUUAUAGAAUCUUCCAAAAAUGAAAAUAUAAGAUUUGAAAGUCAACCUAGUGUCGGAAUUCGAUAAUUUUUUUUGUUGAAAUCGUAUCAAAAGGGUGUUAAUUUCGUGAGUUUUGCCGAGUGAGGCAAGUGUCGUGGUUAACCUUGAGUUGAGGGAAUAUAAUCCUCGAACAUUUGAUAUGUGAAUUCUAUGUGUACAAUGUAAAGGUAAUAAAACAAGUGGUAUCAGAGCUACUCGCCAAAAUUUCUGGUUAUGGAGACAACUUUAAAAUCUUAAAUCUCGCAAUCUAUAAGGGAUCUUAAAUUAUCAAAGCCUUAAAGUUAUAACACUUUGAUUCUAGUUUUCAAAAACUUAAACCAUUCAUCAUUUGAAUAUUUUCACGACAAAUUAUGAUAGAUUGAAUUAAGGCUUGUAAAGUAGUUUCACUAGAAAUUUCUGAAGCGUGAAGCCUACUUUUGAAGCUUAUAUCUCGCAAUCCAUAAGGAAUCGAAAAAUUAUCAAAACAUUAAAGUUAUAGCCCUUUGAUUCUAGCUUUCAUAAAGUUAAUAUAUUCAUCAUUUAAAUAUUUUUGCAUAAAGUCACGAUCAAUUGAAUAAAGGCUGGUGCAAGCACGUUUUCAUGUGGAUUUUUAGUGACGGGCAUGGACCUUUAGUGAUGGAUGGACAAAAACGUAAGGACCAAUAAAGGUCAUUUCCUUCAUUUUAUUUUUGAUAUUUGGAGCACGGUUCUUGGGCAAUUUGUCUAAAAAAUAUUGAGGUAUGUGUCCCUUAUCCUGUAUUGAUUAUAUUUCAUGAUUUCAUUCUAAUUUACAUCAUGAAUCCGUUAAUUUAUGGAAGAAAUAAGAUCUUUAUAAAAUCUUCCAAAAAUUAAAAUAUAUGAUUUCAAAGUAAACCUAAUGUCUAAAUUCGAUAAAAUUUGUACCAUGAACUCGUAUCGGAACGGGUGUUCGGAUUACAUGAGUCUUUUUAGAAUUCGAGAUAUGGGUUCCACUAAUAAUUUUUUAGUGAAUUUUUAAUUUUACUUCAAAAAAUUAGUAACUUUAUAUGGAAAUAAAUUUCACAAUUUGUAUUUAGUAUAUUAAAUUGUUUAUCACUUUAUUUGAGGCUUUCAAAUACAGAUUAGUAAAAGUCUAUUCGAAUCUUGAAUUUGGUUGUGAAUUGAGGUAAGUAUCAUAGUUAACCUUGAAUUGAGGUUAUAGAACCCUUGAAUUAUUUGUUAUAUUAAUUCUAUAUGUACGAUGUGUAAGCAAAGUGACUGUUGGUAUCCAAGCCGUUCGCCAGAAUUUCUAGUGCAUGGAGCAUAUUUUGGAACCUUAUAUCUCACAAUCCAUAUGGAAUUAGAAGAUUAUUAACCUAAAAGUAAUAGACCUUUGAUUUUACAGUCUAGAAAGUUAAAUCAUUCAUAAUUUGGACAUUUGUACAAAAAGUUAUGAUAGAUUGAAAGAAGAUUGUAAAGCAGUUUUGCCAGAAAUUUUUUAUGCGUGGAGCCGACUUUGGAAAGUUAUAUCUCGUAAUUCAUAAGGAGUCAGAAAAUAUCACAACAUGAAAGUUGUAGCUCUUUGAUUCUAGUUUUCAGAAAGUUAAAUCAUUUAAACAUUUCUACGUAAUGCUAUGAUCGACUGAAUGAAGGCUGGUGCAAGCAAGUUCCGGUGUGGACUUCUAGUGAUGGAAAAUGGACUUUUAGUGAUGGAAAAUAGACUUUUAGAGACGUGUUGGCAUAAACUUAAGGACCAAAAUUUUCAUUUCCUUCAUUUCAUUUUGGGUUUUUGGAGCACAAUUCUUGGGUGAUUUUCAAGGGAAAACAACUGGGUAAGUAUUCCUUAUCCUAUUUUAUUUUGUGAUUCCAUACUCAUUUACAUCAUGAAUUUGUGAAUUCAUGGAAAAAAACUAUAUUGUUAUAAAAUCUUCCAAAAAUGAAAAUAUAAGAUUUGAAAGUCAAUCUAGUGUCAGAAUUCGAUAUUUUUUGUUUGGUUGAACCCGUAUCGGAAUGGGUGUUCGGAUUUCGUGAGUUUUGGCGAGUGAGACAAGUGUCGUGGUUAACCUUUACUUGAGGAAAUAUAACCCUUGAACUUUUUUGUGUGAAUUCUAUUUGUACAAUGUAAAGACAAGGAGACAGUUGGUAUGAGAGAUGUUCACCAGAAAUUUCUGGUACGUGGAGGCAACUUUAAAAUCUUAUAUCUCGCAAUCUAUAACAAAUAUUAAAAUUAUCAAAACAAUCUAUUACAAAUCUUAAAAUUAUCAAAACAUAAAAGUUAUAGCACUUUGAUUCUAGAUUUUGUAAAGUCAAACCUUUUAUCAUUUGGAGAUUUGUACGGAAUGUUAUGAUAGAUAUAAUUAAGGCUAGUAAAGAAGUUCCGGUAGAAAUUUCUGAGGCGUGAAGUCGACUUUGGAAGCAGAUAUCUCGAAUCCAUAAUGAAUCAGAAAAUUAUAAAAACAUAAACAUUGUAGACUUUUGGUUCUAGUUUGCAUAAAGUAAAUGUAUUCAUCAUUUAAAUAUUUGUACAUGAAUGAUCGAUUGAAUAAAGACUGGUCCACGCACGUUCUAAUGUAGAGGACAUGGACCUUUAGUAACAGAUAGACAGAAUCGUAAGGACCAAAAGUGGUCAUUUCCUUCAUUUCAUUUUGGAUUUUUGGGGCACAGUUCUUGGGCAAUUUUUGCGGAAAAAUAUUGGUGUAUGUGUCCCAUAUCCUAUAUUGAUUAUAUUUCAUGAUUCUAUACUCAUUUGCAUCAUGAUUUCGUUAAUUUAAGGAAGAAUAAUAAAAUAUUUUUAUAAGAUAUUCAAAAAAUAAAAGCCUAAGAUUUCAAACUAAAUCCAAUCUCUAUAUUCGAUAAAUUUUGUACUGUGAACUCGUAUCGGAAUGAGUGUUUGGAUUUCAUGAGUCUUUUUAAAUUUAGAGACAUGGGUUCCACUGUCAAAUUUUUAAUGAAUUUUGCAUCUAAUUCGGAAAAUUAGUAAAUUUAUAUGGAAUUAAAUUUCACCAUUUGUAUUGAGUAUAUCAAAUUGUUUAUCACUAUAUUUGAGGCUUUCAAACAUAGAUUCGUGAAAAAAAAAGUUUAUUCGAAUCUUUGAUUUGAUUGCGAUGCGAGGUAAGCAUCUUAGCUAACAUUGAAUUGAGGUAAUUGAACCCUUGAAUUAUUUUUUAUCUGAAUUCCAUGUGUACAAUGCAUAGGCAUAGUGACAGUUGGUAUCGGAGUUGUUCACCAAAAAUUUCUAGUGGAUGAAGCCAACAUUGGAAGCUUAUAUCCCGCAAUUCAUAAGCAAUUUGAAAAUUAUCAAAACAUGAAAGUCAUAGUCCUUUGAUUCUACAAUCCAGAAAGUUAAAUCAGUCAUCAUUUGGAUAUUUGUACAGAAUGUUAUGAUGAAUUGAAACAAGGUUUGUAAAGAAAUUCGCCGGAAAUUUCUAAUGCGUGGAGCCGACUUUGGAAGCUUAUAUCUUGCAAUCCAUAAGGAAUUACAAAAUUAUCAAAAUACAAAAGUUGUAUCCCUUUGAUUCUAGUUUUCAAACAGUUAGCGAUUAAUCAUUUAAACAUUUGUACAUAAUGUUAUGAUUGAUUGAAUGAAGACUGGUGCAAGCAAGUUCUGUGGACUUUUAGUGACAAAAAAUGGACAUUUAGCGACAGAUCGGUAGAAGCUUAAUGACAAUAAAUUAUUGUGUCCUUCAUUUUGUUUUGGGUUUUUGGAGCACGAUGGUUGAUUAUUGGACCAUUUUCAUAGGAAAACAGUUUUGUAACUGUUCUUUAUCCUAUAUUGAUAAUAGUUUUAUGAUUCCAUAAUCAUUUACAUCAUAUAUCAACAACAACGGCCCAGUAUAAUCCCAUAAGUUGGGUCUGGGGAGGGUAAUAUAUACGCAGACCUUACCCCUACCCCGAGGGGCAGAGACGCUAUUUUCGUAGACCCUCGACUCAGCAAAGAAACAAGAGACGAUAUAUUUUUUACCACCAAUAGGAUCAUAAUAAAAUAACAUCAAUAUAAGAAAUACACAAUAUGUGGAAUAGAUAGGUAUAAAAAUAACCAGCAGAUAAAACCCCACAUCAGUAGAUAACCAGUAGCAUCCUAAGACUAACUCCUAACUAGCUAGUCUCACUAUUGUGCGCUGUAGAAAUAUUCACAACUUCCCCCUAUACUACAACCUUGAUGCUCUACCUCCACAACUCCAUGUCAAGGGCCGUGUCCUCGGUAAUCUUAAGUCGUGCCAUGUCCUUCCUGAUCACCUCUCCCGAAUACUUCUUAGGUCGCCCUCUACCUCUCCUUGUGCCCACCACAAUCAGUCGCUCACAUAUCCUUAUCGGUUCAUCAGUGCUCUGCCUCUGAAUAUGUCCGAACCAUCUGAGUCUUGCUUCCCGCAUCUUGUCCUCCAUAGGGGCCACGCCCACCUUUUUUCAAAUGUAUUCAUUCCUAAUCUUAUCCAUCCUUGUAUGCCUGCACAUCCACCUCAACAUCCUUGUCUGUGCUACUUUCAUCUUCUGGAUGUGUGAGUUCUUGACCAGCUAACAAUCAUUCUCAUACAACAUGGCAUGCCUAACCAGUGCUCUAUAAAACAUACCUUUUAGUAGCGGUGUCACUUUCUUGUCACAUAGAACUCCCUAUGCUAACCUCCACUUCAUCCACUCAACCCCUAUACGAUGUGUGACAUCCUCAUCGAUCUCCCCGAUCUCCUGAAUAACCGACCCAAGGUACUUGAAACUACCCCUCUUGGGAAUGAGUUGAGACUCAAGCCUCAUGUCCACUCUUGCUUCCAUCGGCUCGACCCCUAAUUUGCACCCCUAAUCAUAUACAUCAUGAAUACAUGAAUUUAUGGAAGAUAUUUAUAUUUUAAUAAAAUAUUCAAACGAUAGAAAUGUAAGAUUUUGUGAAUUCCAUUUAGGUAAGUGUUGUGGUUAAACAUGACUUGAGGGAAUAGAACCUUUGAAUUAUUUGCUAUGUUAAUUACUUGUGUAUAACAUAUAGGCAAGGUGACAGUUGGUAUCAUAGAUGUUUGCUAGAAAUUUCUGGUGCAUGGAGUCAACUUUGGAAGCUUGUAUCUCGCAACGCAUAAGGAAUCUUAAAGUUAUCAAAACAUGAAAUUCGUAGCCCUUUGAUACUACUUUCUAGAAAGGUAAAUUGUUCAUCAUUUGGACCAUUUUACCGAAAGUUAGUAUGCAUUGAAAGAAGUCUAGUAAAGCAGUUUCACUAGAAAUUUCUAAUGCAUGGAGCUGGUGGAAGCUUAUAUCUCGUAAUCCAUAAGGAAUCAGAAAAUUAUCAAAACAUGAAAGUUGUAACCCUUUGAUUCUAGUUUAACAUUUGUACAUAAAGUUAUGAUUGACUGAAUGAAGUAUGGUGCAAUCAAGUUCUUGUGCGGUCUUUUAGUGACUAAAAAUGGACUUUUAGUGACGGGUGAGCAGAAACUCAAGGACACAAAAUUGUCAUUUCCUUCAUUCGUAUUGGAUUUUUGGAGAAUAUUUCUUGGGCCAUUUUUGGGCCAUUUUCACGAGAAAAAGAAUAGGGUAAGUGUUCCUUAUACUAUAUUGAUUAUAUAUUAUGAUUCCAUAAAUAUUUAGAUCAUGAAUACCUUAAUCAAUUAAACAUUUGCUGAUAAAGUUAUGAUCGAUUGAAUUAAGGAUGUUGCAUGCAAAUUCUAUUGCGGACUUUUAGUGAUGGAAAAUGGACUUUUAGUGACAGAUGACUAGAAACUUAAUGGCCAAAAUUGUCAUUUCCUUCAUUUAGUUUUGGAUUUUUGGAGCAUGGUUCUUGCCUUUUUGUUUGUUGUUGUUAAAUUUCUCCCGUACUUGAUGGGUGCAAAGGUGAUUGUUCAUACAAAUCAUGCAGCACUUUGCUAUCGCAAGAGCAAGAAAGAUUCCAAAUCUCGUUUGAUGAGAUAGGUACUAUUGUUGCAAAGGUUUGACAUUGAUAUCCAAGAUCGGAAAAGGUAUGAAAACCAAGUGGCGAACAACUUGUCUCAUUUGGUGGAGGAGGGGAGGCCACAUGAUGGCCUUGAAAUCAAUAACUCCUUCCCCCAUGAGUAACUUUUCCUUUGUCAAUGAAAGAGAUGCCUUGGUUUGCGGAUUUGGAAAAUUAUCUUGUGAGGGGUAUCAUUCCGGUUGAGUUGUCUUCAAACCAAAUUAAGAAACUCAAACGGGAUUAUCAAGUGUGCUAUUGGAAUGAACCAUAUCUUUUCUGGAUUUAUACGGAUGAAGUGACUAGAAGAUGUGUAUCGGAGGACGAACAAAGUGAAAUUAUUUGGGCUUUCCACUCUUUGCAUUAUAGUGGUCACCAUGGUGGAGCAAGAACGGGGCCAAAAUGUUAAGUUGCGGGUUCUAUUAGCACUCUUUUCAAGGAUGCAAGUGAGAUUGUCAAGCAUUUUGAUCAAUGCCAAAGGGCCAGUGAAAUCGCAAAGAAAAUUGAAAUGCCCCUCACCACCAUCUUGCAGAUUGACAUUUUUGAUGGGGCACAGUAUUGAUUUCAUAGGUCCAUCCAUGAGUUUUUGUUGAAACACCUACAUCUUGGUCGCGGUUGAUUAUGAGUCCAAAUAGGUUGAGUUUGUUUCUUUUCCCAAAAAUGAAGCGAGAAGUACGGUGGAAUAUUUGAAGAAAAACAUCUUUAUAAGAUUUGGUACUCCAAGGGAUAUCAUAAGUGAUGGGGGUUCGCAUUUUUGCAAAAAGGCUUUCGACACCUUACUCACAAAGUAUGGCGUCACUUACAAAGGUACAACCACCUAUCAUCCUCAAGCAAGUGGUCAAGUGGAAGUCUCCAACCGGGAGACAAAGAGUAUUUUGUCAAAAAUAGUGAAUGCCAACUGGAUAGAUUGGUCAAAGAAACUUGAUGAUGCUUUAUGGGCUUAUAGAUGUCUAACAAAACACUAACUGGAAUUUCUCUAUACCGGUUGGUGUUUGGAAAAGCUUGUCAUCUUCCCGUGGACCUUGAGCACAAGGCCAUGUGGGCUUUGACGAAGUUGAACCUUGAGUGGGAUGUCACCGCCAACUUAAGAGUGGCACAAUGGAUUGAGUUAGAUUAGUUACAGUACCAUUCAUAUACAAGUUCAUCCUUAUAUAAGGAGAAGAUUAAGUACCUCCAUGACAAGUACAUUUAGAUCAAGGAGUUCAAACAAGGUGAUCUUGUGUUAUUGUUUAGUUCUCGAUUACAGAUGUUCAAUAAUGUAAUCCCUAACAGAUUGCUCUUUGUUCAUCACUAUCCAGUUUCCCGAAGUGUGUACUUCCUUAUAUGAACCACAAAGUAUUGUACAUUUGCCCAGGGAUUGCGUUGUUUUUGCCAUCCGUUGUAAAUGAUCUCCUACGUUUUUUCCAUGUUGUCCUUGACCAUAAAUCAUCCUGAAGUAGUCAACAAGAUUUCCAAGUGAAAUUUUUAAGCUCAUUUGAACCAAAAUUUUCCAUAUGAAUUUCCAACUGUGACAUGCUGAUAAUGUAGACGUUUCAGCUAUGUCAUGUUCAGCUCCAGUUGCGCGUACUGUCUAUUUACUUGAUAUUGAUUUCCUUGAAUAUGGUUAUAGUUCAUGAAAUAUAUUUUUUUUAUGCACUAAGGCUUUGUGCCCAUGAUGAACCAAAUUUACCAGAAUUACGCGCCAAAACCAGAAGUUUCCAAAGCUUAUGCCUAGUGCUGUCCAUAGUUGCCUUCUCAGGCUUGUGCUUGCCAUCGUUCCUUCUUCAAGGGAAUGAGUAUUGAGUACUAAUACCACCCAUCGAAGUCUUAGUAAAUGAAAAGGCAUGAGUACAUUGAAAUUUCCUGCAAAAAAAAAAAAAGAAAACAUUGUUAGUGAAAAUCUUAUCAACACAUUCUUCUCCAAAAAGAUUUGAAAAUGUUGAUCCUACUCAUGGUCAACACACUAGUUUCUGCUCCAGACUCUUAUACCUUUCACGUUCCUACUUUGUUGUGUUGUAGCCAGAUUUGCCUGACUCCCUAUAUCCCUUGAUAUCUCAAUACCUACUCCUAUACUUCAUGUUCCAUGAUGCUCAUUUCGAUUAAACGUUCUGAGAAUUGAAUCACCUUUAGUUGCUAUGUAUCGCCCAUAAGUCAUGCUGCUGCAAAGAAUAUGCAGCAGACUACCAUGCAUCCAAUGUCCAAAUACCACUAAAUGUCCAUUUCUCUAUGACGUUCUGGACUUAUCUCUAUCCUUUUUCUUAUAUAACUUCUCAUUUCUGUCAUUUGAAUGCCCUCCCUUUUAUGUGCACUAUAUAUUCCUCCACCUAGCAUUUGACAUUACCCAUUUUGGUUAGACUUUCUAGGUAUUUUCCUCCAGCUUGUUCGGUCUUUCCAUAAGAAAGACAAUGACCAGCUAUAAGGUUCUUCCAUUGGAUUGGGUGUCAUCUAUGAGUGUUGUCUUAGCCUAUGAUAGGGUUGUUCCAAUGGGCAUUUCCAUUUCUAGUUUCCCAAGUUGACUGUAGCUCCUUGAAUGAUUUAGCAUUUCCAUGGUCCCUGCUGCCUCUACUCCUGCUACUUCUAAUUUCCUUACAAUGGGUUGAGUGUUACGCACUAAUUUCACCAUCAGGAAAUCCAUUAGAUUGUAGAGCAUAUAGGCUUCUCCUCUCCCUAAUCUUUUUUCCGUUAAUCCUUGUUGCCGUCUUCCUUUAUGUCUCUUUGUUGUAUUUUGUCUUGAUGAAGCAUCUCUUUAGUGUGUUCCAGUUGUUCCUAUUGUAUAGAUGCUCCAGAUUCUUGUCCAAUAUUAUUGUACCUUCCCAAUUCUAGUCUGGGUAGAUUUCUAAGUUUCAACUAUUUUUGUGAGGCUCCUAUGUGUUGUGCUAUUGUCUAGUCUUAUAAACCUUCCAUAAGUUGAAUGCUAAGCACUGAUACAACCAACAGGAAGUCUAUUAGAUCACAGGACAAUCACACAUAAUGCGUACCUGCAAAACAAAAAACAAAGUUAGUAGAAAAGGGAGUCACCAUGCUCUCCUCUAUACAGAUUUGAGCAUGGUGAAUACUCUUGCGUUAUCCCCCUAACUUCCUAUUAUCUCCCUCUCCUUCACACAUUAGUUUCUUACAACUUUGACUCUCAAAUGAGGGCAUUACAACUUGUCUUCAUUCAUUAAAUUUCUUCCUUGAGAUUCCAACUCCCCGAAACCAAAGCAUUCUAUAUCCCCUACAUCCAGAGCAUAGUUAGCGAGGUAGUUUGCAAGUUUGUUUCCUUCUCUGAAGAUGUGGGACACCUAAUUGUUGACCCCUUCCAUUAACAGCCUAAUCUCCUCAAUAUGUUCAAUGAUACCCCAAGGAUGUUUCCAUGAUCCCUUGAUCGAGUUUUUCAGCACCAUUGAAUCAGUCUGCAACCAAAUAUGUGAAUAAUUCUAGGAUUUACAAAACCUUAGAGCCUCCACAAUAGCUGUUGCUUCUGCUUCAUUGUUCGAUCCUUCUGUGAUCUAAUUUCCUAAUGCAUACCUCAGGUCUCUAAUCUUAUACCAUACACAAAAUCCAAUCGAGCUUCUUCCUGGAUUUACCCUAGAGGUCCCAUCUAUGUUCACCUUUAACCACCCCUCUCUUAGGAAUUCCAAAGUGACCUUAUCAACCUUUAGCCUUGGUGUAUACCUCUCCAAAGUUGCCAAUAUAUCUUGCCAUCUUAAGGGGUACUCUAAGUCCUGGUUUUCUAUGACGGACCAAUCGUUACAGUGUUGUUGAGACUUGGUGAAUUACCCUGCUAACUGACACAGUCUCCCCAUAUUGUAAGUUGUUUCUUCUUUUCCGUAACUCCCAUACAAUACAAGAUGGUACUGCCGCCAAUAUUGGCUUUAUUGUUUGUAUCACAUGGGUUGUCAAACACUUGUUAAUGGCCUAAUGCAAAGUCAGCCCUUCUACUGCUAUACCUGCUCUCCUAAAAAAAUAUGUCCAUACCGUAGUAGCAAGCUUAGAUGAGAAGAACAAAUGACUCAGAGUCUCCUCCUUAGGGUCAACACAACACCAACUUCUUGUGGGCAUCGAGUAGCCCAAUCUUUUCAUGAAGCCAUCUAACGGUAAUUUGGCUUUCCACACCUUCCAUAAAAAAAAGUUUUAAUGGAAGUAACUUUACCCAUAUCUUCUUAUAAUCUUCCUUGGGAUCAUCCCUUCUCCUUAAUAUUCCCACACUGAUUUAACAGUAAAAAUUCCUUUAGGCUCCUACAUCCAAUAUGGGGAGUCCAGUACAUUUUGAAGAACUUGAGGUUUGAUUUUCUGUAUAAUAUGCAUUGCUAGAUCUUCUGGUAGAAGCUCUAUCAGUCUAUCUAUGUCCCAUGCUCCAUUCUUGACAACUUCAAACACAUUUUGAAUACCCUUAUCAACUCCAAUAUUCUGUGGGACUAUGAAAUAUAGAGCACCCAACCUUGUCUAAUUGUCAAACCAAUACACAGAGAUGUUCAAUGAUGUCCCUGCAUUCAAGCAUUUUCCUCCAGACAUGAGAUCCUGUUCUUCAUGGAACAAUUACCGAAUUCAUCCUUUUACAGUAAUUUUGGCUUACCAAAUAACUCCAUACACUAGGCUUUGUUCUAAAAUUCAACCACAGUUUACAUAAAAAAGCCUUAGAUACAUCAUGCAAUGAUCUAAAUCCAAAACCUCCCUCUUCAUAUGGCAUACAAAGAUUGGUCCAAGAAGCACAAUGCCUACUAGUACCUCCCACAGCACUACUCCAGAAGAAUUGAGCAAAGAUUUUGUGCAGCCUAUGAAUAACAUACUUAGUGGGAUUCACAGCUGACAAAAGAUGGAUUGGCAAGCUCUGAAAUACACUUCCUAUCAACACUGCCUGUCCUCCAAUUGACAGCAAUUUCCAUUUCCAAUCUUGUAAUUUGUCAAGGACGUUGUGGAUCAUACUCCUGUUUUCUUCUUGCAUAAAAUAUUGGGCAACCAAGAUAUGUGAAAGGUAAUUCCUGUCUUCCAAUACCUAUUAUCCUUUACACUUUUCUAACCACCUCCAAGUCUGUUAGGUGAUGCAUAUACAUAGCUGACUUGCUUUUGUUCACGAGCUGCCUAGAUGUAGCUUCAUAUGCAUGCAGAACCUCCAUCACUAAGCGUAAUGAAGUAGCAUCUGAGGAUGUAAAAAUUAUGAUGUCAUCUGCAUAGGCUACACAGCUGAUUUUUGGGCUCAAUAUAGGAAAACCAAAGCCACAGAAGUAUAAAUUCUUAUGCAACCAAUUCCAACCUCAAGAGAGAGCUUCUGCAGCUACAAUUAAGAGAGUUUGUGAUAAAGGAUCACCCUGAUUGAUGCCCCUAGAUGACUUGAAGAAUCCAUAAGCCUGUCCAUUGACAAACAUAGAAUACCAAUUGUUUCCUACCAAAUCAAACACCAUCCCAAUGAAUCUUUCACAAAAUCCCAUCUUUCUUAGCAUUUUUUGUCAGGAAUAACUAUGAAACCGUGUCAUAUGCCUUUCUCAUGUCGAGCCUGAUCACAACAUUAGGUCCAGCCCUUGUUCUAAGCCUAAUAUCUGUGAUGAUUUCCUUGGUUAGAAGUACAUUCUCCAGAAUACUUCUUCCUUUCAGAAACCCUGCAUGUUCUUCUAAGAUCAGAUUAGGUAGAAGAUCCACCAACCUCUCAUGCACUACCCUCGAGAAUAUUUUAUUAAUGAAAUUAUUGAGACUCAUAGGCCCCAAUUUUGCAAAUGUACUGACCUCUUUUUUCUUUGGCAGCAACACUAAGUUGGUGUGUGUCACAUAUUUUGGUAGUUCAUGACCAUUAAAGAAAGCUAGCGCCAUAUUAUAUAUGUCAUCCCCAACAAUAUCCCAACAUGAUUGAUAGAAGGCACCAGUGUACCCAUCAAGACCACCUGCUGAGUCCCCAUUUAGUCCAAAUACUACACUUUUAGCUUCUUUUUUUGUUGGUAAUGCUGUCAGCCUUGAAUUAUGUUCCUCUUCCAUCAAGCAAGGAACAUGAUCAAUAUGCAAAGCAUUAGGAAUUACAAUUUCUGUGUAUUGGUUUUUGUAAAAUCUUACAGCUUCAUCCGCAGUGAGCUCAUCAUCCUCUAGCCAGUUGCCCAUAUUAUUCUUAAUCCUUUUGAGUUGUAGCCUUUUUCUCAUGCCUCUCACUUGAGCAUGAAAGAACUUUGUAUUUCUGUCACCAUCUUUGAACCAUGUCAUGCCUGCCUUUUGCUUCCAAAAAUCCUCUUCAAUUACAAGAUAUUUGAUCAUCUCUGCUUGGACCUUCUACAAUCUCUCUCUAUUUUGUUGCGUAGGAUAUGCUUUGAAUUGUCUUUCAUGCACUAAUACUGCCUCGUCAAGGCUUGAAAUCUUCUGAAAAAUAUCACCAAAGCUUGUUCUGCUCCAUGAAGACAACACUUUCUUCAGCUUCUUUAUUUUGUGAUUGAACAAAACAAAUGGAUUUGUAGAAAAAUCUGCAUUCCAAUUUUCAUUUACAAAAGAUUUAAAAGCCUCGUGCUUUGUCCAAAAAUUAAGAAAUCUGAAUGGUUUCUUAAUAGGUGGGGUUUCAAUAUCACAUUUUAGAAGCAUUGGGCAAUGAUCAGAUCCAGUCUUUGAUAAAUGAGUGAUCUCUAACCCUGGAAAGGUUUGUUGUUGCUCAAUCUCUAACCCUUAAAUCCCAAUUCUGACAUGUUAUAAGAUUAAUGGAGUGUCUGAAAUCAUCUACCUCAAUUAAUAACACUGGCAAUCCUCCAAAAUUUUCUUCCUUAUCACAAAUCACAUUGAAAUCCCCCCAACAAGCUAAGGAGCAUCCAUAUCUAAAGCUAUUUCAUACAAUGAAUCCCACAGUUCUAUCCUCUCAAUUGCAUCAUGUUUUGCAUACACCAAAGCUAGAAUCAAUUCUACGUGCAUUUCAGUGUGAAAUAAUUUCAAUUUCAAUUGCUACCCCAUGUUGUACAGUAUAGUAACCUCAAAAACUUCAUCAAUAAAUGCCCAUAUUUUAUUUGAAACAUUAACCACAGGCUGAGCCAAGCCUAUUAUGCUCUUAUACAUUUCCAUUUUGCUAUACUGUUGCUUUGGUUCCAUGAUUCCUAUGAACUGAAAAUGAUAUUGUCUAUGCAUCUUAAUCAACCUUUCAAAGGCCUGCAAUGUAUUCAAUGACUUGACAUUCUAUAUAGUGGCAUCCAUUACUGAUUGAGUGAUUUAUUGAUGUACAAUGUUCUUCUUGUUUGAACCCCUCCUGCUAGGGCAGUUGAGGCAUCUUUGAAUUGCUUUUUGUUGCUUCUUGGGCAAUAACCCAUGUGUCUUUUUCUUUUUCUUUUCCAUCUUCUUUAGAUAGGUUUUAUUUAAUGCUAACUAUUUUUAAGUGUGUUGUAGAAUAAGUGUGCUUUGCAUAGAUUGUGCUCGGAAAAUAAUUGAGUGUGGACAUCACAAAUUUGAGUGCCAUAGUAGAAUGGACUCUGUGGCCGUACAAUUCUUGUGUGGACCGCACAACAGGGAAGUUAAAAAAUUACACUCUCUCUGAAGUUUCUGUGGUUGCACUAAAAAAUGUGCGGACCGCAGAAUCAUCGAGCGUAGAAUAGUAUCAGGUAAUGGAAUGCGUACCACAUAUGAAAUUGUGCGGCCGUACUCACCUCUUAAACCCUUAUCGAUCUGUGAUUGUAUUAAUAGAAGCCCUUAUUCUCCAUCAAAGGCUUUACACACUUAAAACAUUUACAAAGGCAAAAGCACAAUGCACUUAUUUGAUUCAAGCAUCUCUCCCUCAUUUCAUCAUAUUGAUUCAUCCUCAGCAUCAUUUAAUUAUCAAUAUUUUAAUUUAUUUUUAAAAAAAUCCAUUUUCUUAAUUUUGUUCUUAAUUAGCUAGUUACUUUUAGCUCUAAUGUAUAAUCCAUCGUCAUGUGAGCUUACUUUUGUAUGUGUAGUUGCCUACUUACCAUAUGGGGGAUGGGUAAUUGGUUUAUCAUGUCUAAAUUGCUAGUACCGGGUUUAAUAUUUUGUUAAAAGUUGGAACCCUAAGUUCAUUGCCAUUUUGUUUUGAAUUUUGCGAUUCGCAGAUUAAUAGUUUAGGGCAGUUUGUGUUUGCUGAUUGGCGAACCACACUCCAAAUUGUGCGAUCCGUUGAAAUUGGACUCCGGCUGCAGAAAAGUGUGUGCGGCUACAGAUCAACUAUAUAAUACCGUGGGUCAGUAUGAAGAGCCUUUGGUGGUAGAUAAGCUUCAGCAACAUACCUUUAGCUGACAUGCCUACCACUCAGCCGUGCUUUCUAGCAGUAUAACUGUCACACCUCCACCUCCAUCUUCAGGGCCACCAUCAGUAUCCGUGCCUUCAUCUUCUACUUAUCCACUUAUGGUGCUGCAAAACUCCCAGACACUGGUGAGUCUCAACAACUAGAUACAAACAUCUACCACAAAGAUGUCUGAUCUAUCUAGUGUUGUUGCAGCCCAAACAUAUACCCCAACUCCCCAGAUUUCUCCGACAGCGACGGAGACUUUGAAGAGGAUUCUAGAGAACCAGAAGACUAUUAUGGACACUCUGGAACCACAUAGAACAACAAUAGAGGAGCUUGGGAAGCAGGUGAAGAAGAUGAGGAAAUCCCAAGUUUAGAAGAAGUCAUUUGACAAACUGACAUGGAAGGUGAUCAAGAUAGCCUCAACUGUGGAUUUUCCACUUGACUUGUUGAUGGAGACAGGUCCAGUAGCACCAUCAGCACCAGCUAACCAGCAUGAGGAGCCAGACCUUACUGCCCACACUGCUGAGACAGUGCUACAGAAGUUCACCAACCCAGCUACUCUCCGAGAAGAGAAUGACAAGAUACAGUUGGAGGAGCUCGAGGAUGGCGAUGCUACUAUAGAUACUGAGAAAACAUAUGGAUUCCUCUCUACUAUUUCCCUUCCUUAGUUUUUAUUUUGUUAAGAAUUAGGGACAAUUCUUACUUAUAUUUGGGNNNNNNNNNNNNNNNNNNNNNNNNNNNNNNNNNNNNNNNNNNNNNNNNNNNNNNNNNNNNNNNNNNNNNNNNNNNNNNNNNNNNNNNNNNNNNNNNNNNNNNNNNNNNNNNNNNNNNNNNNNNNNNNNNNNNNNNNNNNNNNNNNNNNNNNNNNNNNNNNNNNNNNNNNNNNNNNNNNNNNNNNNNNNNNNNNNNNNNNNNNNNNNNNNNNNNNNNNNNNNNNNNNNNNNNNNNNNNNNNNNNNNNNNNNNNNNNNNNNNNNNNNNNNNNNNNNNNNNNNNNNNNNNNNNNNNNNNNNNNNNNNNNNNNNNNNNNNNNNNNNNNNNNNNNNNNNNNNNNNNNNNNNNNNNNNNNGGGGGGGGGGGGGGGGGGGAUGACAUUGGCCUGUAAAUAACUCAUAACAUUUUCUUUUUCUUUUCAUAUAUCUACAUAUUCCUCUCUCUCUCUAUAUAUAUUGAUGUAUAUAUUAUCUCUUCUCUCUCAUCUUGGAUAGUCAUUUAUGCUUUUAUUAGUUUACUUUAUAGCUUUAGUUUUUUUUAAUUUAGUAGUAAAUGUUUAGUCUAAUAGCUUCUGAUAUACUUUGAUAACUUCUUUUCACUUAGUAGUUCCUUUUCAUGUUUAAGUGUUCAAUAAGCCUUUGGUUUUCUUAAUGCCAUGGUUCUUUUCAAAGGUAGUUUUGUCUGAACCGGUGACUCCUCCCAAUGAUAGAUGGCGUGAAAACCUUCUUAACUGGUUGAGCCCGUUUUUGAUGUUUCAGUAAGAAUAGUAAUAAUAGUGAAUAAGAGGACCUAAUUGAGUAAAACUAGAAAAUAGAGCAUGCUUCAAUUGGUACCAACACACAACGACAUGAUUAUGAUUAAAAAUAGGAGCUUUUUCUAAUCAGUUCUUCAUCCAAGUUCUUUCUAAUACUCUCUCACCCCUUUCUUCUCUUUAUCCCCAUCCAUUUUUAUUUUCUAUGUUUUGGCCCGCGGACUUAGGGCUCUAUGGCUGCGUUCUCAUCAGUCAAGCCACAUCCUUUUCCUAGGGCUUUCCUUUAUCAAGUAAGCUUAAAUGGGCUCGUCGUCGUUGUUGUUGUUGUUAUCAUUGAUGUUGUUUUAUAUUUGUUGGAUCAAGGGGAUGGGAUAGGGGGUUGACUUCUUUCGACUUAGGAAGAUAUUUGGACUCUACACCGCCGCUGCUAGGGAGGACAUUCAAAAUAUACACCAUUGCUCACCUCCUUACGCCGACCUAGUGGGGCACUUCAUCUCCUUUUCUUUCCAAGGGAUGAAAUUGCACAACUGGCCACUUAACAUCCAUGGCACAAUGUCCUAAGAAGUGGACUUAAAGUAGUUGUGCAGCUAGGGCCGACGCCAGCCAAAUCUUCUAUGGUGUCGUAGUUUCCUCGGCUUGAUAGAAGCCUUUGGUCUUUGGUGGGAUAUGGCUCUUUUUUCCGCUUUUUCUACACCACUUUCCUUAUCAUCAUCUUCUCCACUGAUGAUGCCGUUCUGGAAGAUCGAGAUGGGCCCUUCGAGGAGGUGAUGCUCGAGGACACUGCUGCAAAGGAUGCUCCCGAGAGAAUAGGCUAGGCUCUAGGCUUUAAUUUGUAUAUGAACCUUUUUGCUCCUUCGUUUCUGUUUAAGGACUCUUCGUGGGCUUUUGUUAUCAUAUUUUUAUGGAUAUAAAGAUUUACCUUUAAUUUGUCUCUGUUGUAUGUUAUAUUUCCCUUCGUCUAUGCUUGUGAGGAAUAUGAGUGCAUGACCCCACUGAUUGGUGUAAAUAUCAAGCCUGAGUGCGAGCAUUUCCUGUGGCUAUUGACUGACUAACAUAAUUUCCCAUGGCACCCUUUGAUGUUCCUUGGACCGAGCCCAAAUUAGACUGAUAAACUCAGGUCGUCGGGGCCCACGACUUUGAGUUGAAUAAGAGUGGGGCUUCGCACCUUUGGGAUGAGACUUAGACGUUUAGACACCACGGGGGUUGCUCGGAUGCUUCAAGGCCGAAACCAUAUGAGUAGGCUGUUAGAGACUAUCUCCCUUUUGGUGGAGCUCCUCGAGAUCAGGUACCAUCUCGUGACUUGUAAUAGUAUUGAUGGCUCUGGAGCCAAUCUUCCUCUUGGUGGAGGUUUUUGAGAUCGGGUACCAUCUCGGGACUUGUAAUGAUAUUGAUGGCUUUCUAGGGCCAAUAUUUCUCUUGGUGGAGGUCCUCGAGAUCAGGUACCACUUCCAGACUCAUGGUGAUAUUAAUGGUUUACUUGGAGUAUGCCUUCCUCUAGCGGAGGACCUUGAGGUCGGAUACCACCACGAGACUUGCAAUGAUGCCAGUGGCUUCAUGGAGCCUACUUCUUUUUGAUGGAGGUCCUCGAGGUCUGAUACCACCUCGGGACAUGCACUGAUGCCAAUGGAUUCCUGAAGCCUAACUUCUUUUUUAUAGAGGUCCUCGAGGUCGGGUACCACCUCAGAACUUGGAAUGACACCAAUGGCUUCCUGGAGCAGAACUUCUUUUUUAUGGAGGUCCUCGAGGUCGUACCACCUUAGAACUUGGAAUAAUUUCAAUGGCUUCUUGUAGCCUAACUUCUUUUUAAUGGAGGUCCUCAAGGUUGGGUACCGCCUCGGGACUUGGAAUAAUACCAAUGGCUUCAUGGAGCCUAAUUUCUUUUUGAUGGAGGUCCUCGAGGUCGGGUACCACCUCGGCACUUGGUUGAUUCGUGGUUUUUGACCUUAAAGCGUUGUAUGGCGACGUCGAGUGUAGAAUUUGGUUAUGAAAUGACCGAGGAGAUUCUGCCGGUCUAUCUUUCUAAAGCGACAAAAGCUCUAGCAAAUAUUCCUAGUCAGCCUUUGAGGCAGACAUAUGGUUGUUGCUUUCCCCAUAUAUAGGGUUAUCUUUGCCUUCUGAAGAUUCCAUCACUCUGAGUGGUUAUUCUUGCUUCCUGCAUUAGGCCUUACAUUACUUCAGUAUUAACGCUCUUGCCCAAAUUCUUGCUCUUCUUCUCUGAUUUUGCCACAUUCAGGACUGCUACAUCAGGAUCCAUUCGGCAAGGAGGAGAGAGUUCUACCUUUGGACCUCGCCUCAUUGAUAGAGCGCCACUGAUGCCAAGCUGGCCUGACUCAGGGCGUUUUGCUUUAAAAGGGGUUUUUGUCGUCAAAUAAGUACCUAGAUGCUCAGGAUCAAUGGGUGCAUACCUUGAAGUUUAUUUCUUUGAUAGGAGAGGAACACCUCGGGUAGGUGAGAAAGGACUUCGGAUGAGGGAAAAGGUAGUAUUGUGGAUACCUUUCCUAGAUGAGCAUAUCACGGACUGUGCCUAUUGGUUUUUGAAUAUGUACAUGUACCCUUUCACGCUGGGACCCCUUGAUAGGGUUGUGCUUGACUCUGUCAAAAGUAUCAGGUGACCUUGGCGCAGAUUCACCCAUAAUUUUUGCGGAUAGUGUUAUUGAUGAGAUUCUUUGCAAAGCAGGCAGGGCUUAAAUUCAUGCUCACUAAUCUUAUCAGGCUGUACCAGCCUUUUCACCAUCGAGGUCUGCUAACCAUACAAUGCUGGUUGACCACACCUUUCGUCAUUGAUGAUGGAGAAGACAAAGAUCGGGAGUGGAUGAGUCGAUCCAUCCGAGUAUGGAGUGUAGAUAUUAUCCCUAUGUAGUUCAUGUCAUUUCCCGAGGAAUGGAAUUAUACACGUAAGUGGUACACUUGUGCCCUCUUAGUUUUUUAAUUAUGGUGAACAGCGAGAGAGAUUCCUGAUCUACCGGACUGGGUUCGGAAGUUUGCGACCCAAUCGACUUACAAUGAGUGUAAGUGGAAAGAGUUAUCUAAGGAUAGGUGCGAGGCAAAACACCUUAAUACGUGCUAUGAGAUUUUGCUCCCCCCCCCCCCUUUUUUUGGGGGGGGGGGUUUUUUUUUUUUNNNNNNNNNNNNNNNNNNNNNNNNNNNNNNNNNNNNNNNNNNNNNNNNNNNNNNNNNNNNNNNNNNNNNNNNNNNNNNNNNNNNNNNNNNNNNNNNNNNNNNNNNNNNNNNNNNNNNNNNNNNNNNGUGCUAUGAGAUUUUGCUCCCCCCCCCCCAUUUUUGUGGAAGGGUGCUUUUUUAUUUUUGCAUACUAAAUCUAUCGUCGUAGGCAUCGGGGAGUCCCUACAAUAAAUGUUGUGUUUUUAGGAGACGGAUAAAGAUUGUCGGCUUUCGGGUUAAAGAAUGAUAAUAACAAUCAAGAAACACCUUUAUAGGACAACGGUACUCAAACCAAGACAUAACCAGAUGGGGGGCUCGAAGAGUAUUCAUUGAUUGAGCGUGCUUCACCCACGAUUCUUGGUUUUGGGUAGGUAAUUUCUCCUCCGCUGUCGUCUUCUUUUUUGUCGAAUGUACUUCAAGGAAUACAUAAAACUCGCAUUGUAUACACCGAACGACUGUAUCCCAAUCGGGGUCAGAUCUUUCGGAGCUGAGGGUGAUAGGUUGGCAAAUGUGCACUCGACCUUUGAGGAAGCCCAGCCGCUUCACUCUGUUGUAAGUUUUGGCAUAGGCCUUUUGAGUUUUGCUCCUUCCCGUCCUUAUUGAGUAUUCCUUUGUAGUCCUUCGACAAGCUUUAGUCCGAGCUGCUUUACCGUGAGCCUAGGCUACAGAUAGCUCUGGAUGAGGAGAAAUCUCUUAGGCUGCUUUGUGAUGAAAGGGAAGUCGAGUUGGAACACCUACGGUAUGAGCCGAAUCGGAGCUUGAAUUAUGAUAGAUACUUGAAGGAACAUGUAGUUUUUGUUUUGAGUGACUGUGUGUUCCUUUUUCUAGUUCAUAAGGCUAAUGCUUCAUUUAUUUUAGUUGAAGAAAAAGAUGGAGGACUUGGAGCAUCUUCGGGAUGAGGCUGGCCGAGUUAAAAGCUCAUGCAGAGGUUCAAUUCUCCUUGUAAGGUCCUCGAGCAUCUUUACGAUGGCGGGAUCGGCAACCGACCUUUUGUUGCUUGAUCACUCUGGUACCUGCUCGGCUAGGGUACCCAUCCCCGGUUCUACCAUGCUAGGAGUUUUCUAAUGACUUUAUAUUUGAGCAUUAUCCAGCUAUUGUCCUUGCAACAUUUCAAAAAUAACGCGAAGGCUAAUCUCCCGUUCUUCCCUAUUUAGGGAUUUCUAAGCUUCUUAUUGAUCUCCUUGGUGCACGCUUCUGUCAGUGUGUGAGCUUAUAUCAAUAUGUUGGGUGUCGUGCGAGACCGGGUCCAGGGAAGGAUUUGGUGCAUUCAUAGGGUUUCAUGGUGGUACACCAACAACUGGAACAUCUACACCAUUUUCUCUAUCAGUGUGUGAGCUUGUUAAAUGAGCCAGACAUUUUGACCUAUAAUCAAAGAUCUUGGGCAUGAAAAAAGUGUGAAAGAUAACUUGCAUUGUGUAGUAAAACUAGCAAGAAAACAAUCACUAUUAUUUUUAGCCCCACGGUGGGUGACAAACUGUUUACCAUGAAAAUGUUAAUAACAAUUGAAUUUGAUUAUGGGAUUGUAAAAGUACGUCAUUUAUUUUUAUGCUAGCUGUUAAGAAAUUGAUGCUAUGUAAGAGACUUAGAAAUGAGAUAAGAGCUUACGAGCAAAGUGAUAGACAAACCAAAUGAUUGGUAAUUAGGGCCUCGAGCUCGACUAUUCAGGGGCCUCAAGGUCGAGUUUGGAGCUCGACUGGGAGCUAUAUUGGGUGAUUGAUGGGCGAAUAACAGUUGUGGUAAGAUCAACAAUGACUAUUUAUGGCCAAUAAAAUGCAAUAAAUGAAGACUAUAAGUAGAACACAAUAUAAGCAAUAAAUGAAGUAGUGAACUCAAGAGAAUAUGUUAGAGAAUAGAGAGAAUAUUCUUUAGUAUUUAGUAUGGAGCAACAAAUAUAUACAGAAUGGCAAGGAUCCCUUUUAUAUAUGAGGGGAAUCCUAACAUAGUAUAAAAAGAAUUAAUUACAAAGAUAUGGAGAUGGUACAAUUUAUUAAUGUCUUGAUUCGUUUAUGGACUAGUCCACUAGACUUUGUCAACCCUAGCCAUGUGUCUUAAAAACUCUCCACUUUCACCCUAACUGUUAGUUUGCACUGCCUCGAGCUCGAGCGUCGGUGACCAUUGAGGGAGGAAGCUCGUUCGGAGUCUCGAGCCUUCAAGACAUGCUUUUGAGAUGCCUCGAUGACGAGAAACUGGACCUUUUAAUUUCACCGUAUACACUCUAGGUAGUGACCGUAUGACUCUUUUGUUGACUUAAGAUUUCACCGAGUUGUUUAAUCGAACAAUUAGUGAUUUGUUUUGUUGACUUAGGCCCUCGACUCUUUCCUCUUCAACAAUCUAGUUGUGUGAGAAGUGAGAUGUUUUUGUUGCAAGUCCAAGUACACGUACGAAUGGUCUAGAACUUGCUCCAAAUGUGUUUUAGGUGAAAUUCAAUGUAUUGCGUGGCUUGAGAAUUAAUUGUAGGAUCUCCUUGACCCGUUUGAAAAUUUCCAUGUUCCACAAAUGUUGUUAUCCCUAGUCAACCUGUUUGAGCCUAUGACCUUUCUCAUUUGAUUACCAUGCUACAAGUCUUUACCCAUUUUGCAGUGACUCUCUCUUGUCACCCGAGCUUUCCUUAACACUGUUGAGAAACAGUUGGCUAAAACAUAAUUUUGGGGGAGAGACAAAGAGUUUGAAAGUGGAGAAAAUACUGAAAAAAAGGAAAGGCAAAGAAAAAUAAAGAAAGAACAAUAGAAAAAUGCAAAAAAGAAAGUGAAUAAAUUGAGAGUUGAAGGGAUUCAAAGAAAAAAACAAUUAUGAAAAGCAUGGAGAAAACAGAGAAGUAGAACAAUGAACAUCAUAAACAAGAAAGAGUGAUGUUAACUCUCUCUAGUUUCCCUAAAGAAGAAGAAAAAGACUCAAAGAAUCAGCAAAACAUGAGCCAAAAAGACAAAAUGGAGUCUUUAUGGAAAAAUGAACUCGUUCUAUUCCAACAUUUCCUACCUUAGUCCCAAAUCCUUCAAUACAUUCCGAAAAAGUCCUACGUGAUUUCAAGUCGAGUUAACUUGCAUUAGUAGUGAUUUAUAUGAGGGAUAAUCAUAUGGUACUUAGAGUCGUACUUGUGACAUUAUUUUGAGAGAGAUGAGUGAACUUUUCACAAAUCCUUGAAUUGUGUGUUACACUCUUAAGUGAGAUAUUCUUACAGAGAGUAGAGGAGGAGAAGAAUUUUGUGAUCGCUAAUGACCUACAUGAAAGAGCGAGCUUCCUUGAUGAAUAAAGGCCACUCAUGAUGAUCAAGUGUCACAUUCGAACUAUUGGUGCUUAGAAAUUCAAAUCAUUGUCUUGUUGAUAAUUCAUAAGUAUUGUGGGUAAUUGUUAUUCCCAAUUGAUGUGUUAGCUUGAGUAGCUCUUACAUUUUGGAGGUGGGAUUUACUUUAACUGCUUGAGGACAAGCAAAAGCUUAAGUUUGGGGAAGUUGAUAAGUGGGGAUUUUGACUACUUAUUGACGCCUUCUAGCUUUUUUUUUGUCCAAAAAUGCAUAAUUGUAUUCUCAAAAACUAAUGAAAUAUUAAUUGUAGGAGUAUUAGAAAAUGAGCCACAAAUAUGAAAUCCAACUCAAGAAUGAGUGCUUUGAACUUAAAAAAAAAAUUAAAGGGGCCAAAAGGCUAAUGUGUGGACCGUAUAAUUCCUUCUUCGGCUGCAGAAUGCAAAGGAAAUACAAUAAAGCCUUAGUCUGAAGUGUGGACCGCCUAAUUAUUCUGCGACCAAAGAAGCUAUGCCAGAGCUCAAUUUUAGAGAAGUCUCAUUUCAAGCCUAAAGGAUAUGCGGACCACUCAUUUAUGGUGCGGUCGCAGAAAUCACCAUGCAAUCGCACUAAGAAUUGUGCGCUCCGCAGAAGGUCCCUACCAGACCACACUCAAAUUUGUGCGAAAACGCUGAAUUGAGACAUGUGGUCGUAUUCCAGAAUUGUGCCACCGCAUAUCCAGCUCCUAUCGAUACCUAAGGGAAGUGUGGACCGCAUAUAGAAUGGUGCGGCCGUAUAACCUCAGAAAUGGAAAUAUUGUCCAAAAUCUUCCAGCUUUUUGUAAAUAGACUAAUUUCUCGAAAUUAGUUCAACUUUUGAAUAUUAGAACUCCUGUACCCAUUUUUCAUUAGUGCUUUUGGCAACUUCAAAUUACUUUGGUGAUUAAAUAUUGGGUUUCUUUUAAUCUUUCAAUAUGAGUUUUAUUAUCUUUUCUUCUCUAUUUUUUUCAUUACCCAUUAUGAGUAGCUAGAUUUUUAACUAGGAACCCUAGUGUAUAACCCUAGUGUAUAAACCUAGGGUUGUAAAUCUUUUCUUCUCUAUUUUAUUCAUUUGGUAACACUCGGUAUGCAAACAUCUUUGUGGAGCUGGGGGUGAAAUAUGGACAUUGUCUUGAGGCAGUCGUCCUCAUCUAUUUGCUUGAGUUUCAAGAGGAACCUUUUCAACUUGAUCAUCUUCCACGUGCACAUACCCCAUAGGCAGGUUUCCGAGAGGAUCAUUGUUUUUGAGAGCCAUUAUUUAACCUACAUUUGUUUCACAAAAAAAGAUUAGUAACACAGAAGGAAAAGAAUACAAUUCACAUACAAAAUCAAAUAUAUAGCUAAAUCCCAUUUUAGCUCCCCACAAACGGUGCCAAAACUUGAUCUCAUCCAAGUCACACCUCUAUUCAAGGUUAUGAAAUAUCGAUGCAAAACUAAUACCCAACUAACAGUCGGGGUCGAAUUCCACAUGGAGAUAUGAGAUUGGGAUAUAGGAGUAUAUAUCACGAUAUAUGUGUUUGAACCAUCUUUAAUUGCACUUCCACAAAUUUGGUAUGUUCUAUAGCUAAAUUAACUAAGAUUACAAAAAAGUAAUUGAAACUAAUAAAUGGUGAUUUUGUUGUUGUUUUCAAAUAUUGUAAAGGCCUAGGGCUAUGACCUUCACCUAGGUGUUUGCCUAAUGGGUUGUAAACGCUAAACCUUGUUUCGUUGGUCGAGGUGUAUUAUAACUAUCAACACUCAAGUUCCUACUCAAUACCUAACGGUAAGAGAGUGAUUUUGCUCAAUUAGGCUUUCUCAAGUCCAAAUGGGUAUUGGACAAUACAAUUGAUAAAAUACUCAAGUCGGGCUAGGUUCAUCACAUUAAUUGGGACCAUCAAUCUCUUGAAUUCAUCCCAAAUUCUUGUUAGCCAAGUUUUCCUACACUAAGUCUCUCUUUGUCAAGUAGAGACCAAGUCAAGUGGGAAUGAACUAAUAUUUGAAACGAUUAAUUCUACAAUAAAGAAGCAAAAACAAGGCUAAAUAAUAAACAACCAACCAUAAACAAGCCAUAAAUUAAACACCCAUUAGUAUUGCACAUUAGGGUUAGGUCACAACCCUAGUUAAAAAUGUAGUGACUCAUAAUGGAUAAUGAAGAAAAUAGAGAAGAAAAGAUAAUAAAACUCAUAAUGAAAGAUUGAAAGACAAAAAUCCUAUGUUUAAUCACAAAAGUAAACUACAGUUGCCUAAAGCAGUAAAGAAAAACGGCUAUAGGAGUUCAGAUAUUCAAAACUUGACCUAAUUUCGUGAAAGUAGUAUAUUUAUAGAAAGUUUGAAAUUUUGAAUAAAAUUUCCUUUUCGAAGGUCCUAUGUUCGCACAAUUCUAUGUUUGGUCUACACUUCACUUGGGUCUUCACAUGAGCUGGAUCUGCGGCCGCACAAUUCUAGAAUGCGGCUGCAUGUCUCAAGUUCUACGUGAGCACAAAUCUGAGUACCGCUGCGUAAGGUCCUUCUGCAGGCUGUAAAAUUCUAUGUGCAGUCGCAUGCCUGAUUUCUUAUUUUUGGAGCCGUGUAGGGUCCUUCUGUGGAUCGCACAAUUUUGAGCGCGACUGCAUGGCUGAUUUCUUCGGCCGCACAAUAAAUAUGUGGUCCACAUAUCAUUUAGGCUUAUGAGUCUUGUCCGAACUUGAGAUCUGGCAUAGCUUCUGCGGCCGUACAAUAAUUAUGCGGUCCGCACUUUGCAUUAAGGCUGUGAUGGAUUUCCUUUGCAUUUUGUGGCAACUGAAACAAUUCUGCGGUCGGUAGAUUAGCCUUUUUUCCUGAUUUUUGUUAUUCAAUUCAAAUCAAUCCUUCUUGAGUUGGAUUUCAUCUUCGUGGUUCAUUUUCCAAUACUCUUGCUAUUAAGCAUAGUUCAUCAGCUUCUGGGAAUACAAUUAAGCGUUUUUGAACUAAAAUGAAAGCUAGAAGGCGCUAAUAAGUAGUAAAAAUCCCUAUUUAUCAACUUCCAUUCAUAUCAAAGCAUAGAUUACUAGUAAAUCUCCAACAAAAAAGGUCUAUAUCCUUCACGAAUCCCCUCAUGCUCCAACACCCCAUCAUCUUGAACUCACUCACCAUGCAACUAUCCAACCAACCUCAAUAUACUUCUCAGUAUCCCCUAGUUCAAACUUACCCUCAAUCAUGGUUGGAAAUGAGUCUUCAAGAACAUUCCCUGACAUUUACAAUGGAAAUUGAAGGCCUGGAUGUGAUCAUAGUGAUCCAAAAUCUAGCAGACAUUGUGCAAAUUGUGACGGAGGAUAUUAGGGUAGGGGUCGACCUUACAAUCAAUAUAUAUGGGCCAUGCAUCCACCUUCGACACUACACAACUAUCAUUAUAAUACGUCUCUCACGAUCCAAAAUCCAACUUGUCGUGAUGGCGCCUAUCAUGAUACUAGGCAAGCUGACUACUCAGACAUUUCCAACACUUCCAACUUUGAAAUAUACUAGAACAAUUUAAAUGAAUAAAAAAACUUAUCAAAUGAGAUAGAAUAUCAUAAGUCAAUACAUAAGCUUUUUCAAAAACCGGGGUAUCACUGUGUACAUAGGUAUCUAGACAAUGACAUAGUCUAGUGCACUGUUUAGAAAAUAGAACUGAAUAAAUGAACUGAAAGAUAGGGGAGGAGAGUCAAGGUCUGGGGACGCCAAAGUAGCUACCUCGAUGAUCUCCAAACGUCUGAACUCUAUGAUUCAGCAACCGCCGUGACCGAAAGCACCUGGAUCUACAAACGAGGUAAAGGGUAUAGCGUGAGUACAACCAACUCAGUAGUAACAAGUCGAACUAUUGGGAUGAAAGUAGUGAUAAGCUUUACAGAUACAGCCGAAUUACAAAUUUCACUACAAAAAUGCGGGCAUGCUUUCAAGUUUAACAAUUAAAGCCCAAAGAGGUAAAUCACGUCAAAUUCAAUUGAAACAAGACAUGGUACAUCUCGAUAACUACAUGAAUGAUGUAUGUGCCAACUAAUGUACAACAGUAAUGAAAUCAAAUACAUAUUCUCAGAAUCAGUCACUCAGUCUUCUAAUUCACUCCAUCCUCACAAUCACUCAUUCAAAGUCACUCAAUCCUCACAGUCAACUAGCACUUGCACUCAGUAGGUACCUGCCCUAACUGUGGAUAUCCAGACUCCGGAGGGACAAGUCCAUUCCAAGCGCUACAGUAAUCCAAUCAUGGAAUGAAUCAAAAUAACAUGUUGCGUUGUGCAGCCCACUCCCAUAAAUAUUCUCACAAAUGGUCCCUCGACCUCACUCAGUCAUCUAUCUCUCUAGUCUCUAUGGCUCUCAAGAAUCAUGAUAAUCAUCCCAAAAUAUAAUGAUAUAAUUAUCAAUAAAGGACAACUAAGACUGAGAUAUAAUAUUCAAAUAAUAUUAUGACUGAGUAUACAAUUACAAUUAAAUAAAUAAUUUAACAUACAAAACGACCUCUAUGGGUCCCAACAGUACCAACAUGUAGUUUACGCAGUAUUUCUAACAUGACUGGCAACUCCAUUUCUCUAACAUGGUCAAAAUACAAAUACAACAAGAUUGAUCAACUAUACAGCUUUAUGGAAAACCAAGUCACAUACCUUAUCGUGCACGCCGUCACCUAGCAUGUGUGUCACCUCAACACCAAUCACACAAUACGUAAGUAGGGGUUUCGUACCCUCAGAACUAUGUUUAGAAAUGAUACAUGCCUUAAAAUGUUCAAACCUCGACUCCACAAGCCUUUGCUUCGCGCAACGGCCUUUGAAUGCCUCGAAUCUAGCCACAAACAAUUCGAUACGAUCAACUCAAGCUAUAGGAAUCAAUUCCAUACAAAAAUCAACCCAUGGGCCCACAUAUCGAAAUUUGAUAAAAAUCAUAAAAUACGAACACUCAUUCAACCACGACUUCGUCCAUACCAAAAUUACUCAAGUCCAGUACAACAAGCUCGAUCAAAUCCCCAAAAUUCAGCCUAAGGACUUUGCUCCAUUUGCCCUAAUGUUUCAACCCAAAUCACUAAUUAAAUGAUGAAAUCAAAGAUAUAAACAUGUAAUUUAACCAAAACUAAGUAAGAAUCACUUACCCAAAUCACUCACUUGAGAAUCUUUGCAAGAAUUGCCUCCAACCGAGCUCCCAUAAUAAAAUUUGUGAUAUGAACUCAACCCUCGUUUUUGAAAUAUUUAAUUUCUACCCCCGCGAUUGUCACUCCUUCUUUACACACCACCCCAAAGAGUAGUGUAUAAGAGAGUUUUUCCACUUUAAGUGUCACUAUUCGAAAUAGGAUUAUUUAUUUAUCAGAGUCGCCACUUGGGAUAGUUUAUUUGGUGUCCCAAGUCACCAGUUUAUUUUGAAUCCCAAAUUGAGGAAAAUUUCAACUUUCCUUGUGAAGUCUACGAACCAGAAAUUCUUAAUAAGGAAUUCUGUUAACCCGAGGGAAGGUGUUAGGAACCCCUAGAUUCUGUGGUUCUAGCAUGGUGUGACAACCCAAAGGGGUCAUCAUUUGAUUUCAUAUCUAUUCUCUACUUUCGAGGCCUUGAAAACCUCAUCUGGGGUUGCCUCAAUUUACUUGCGCAGUCCAAGCGGAUAGCCAGAAAGCUUAGAUAUGGACUUUGUGAGAAAAAUGCUAAAUUUUGAUAUUAAAUUGAAUAAAUUUGACGUCGGCCAAUAUAUUAAGUAAACGCACCUAAACUCAUGACGGUUUUGAAGGGUUCAAAGGAAAAUAUGGGACUUGGGCGUAUGCUCGGAAUCAAAUUCCGAGGUCCCAAACCUGAGAAAUAAAUUUUUGUGCGAAAUUAUUUUCUAGAAAUAAUUAAGAAAAUUGAAAAUGAAAUUUGAUUAGAAGAUUAUGGUAUCAGGCCCGUAUUUUAGUUAUUGUGCCUGGUACAAGUCUUAUAUAUGGUUUAAGAGCUUUCUGUAAAGUUUGGUUGAAAAUGGAUGUCAUUUGACGUGUUUCGGACUUAAAUUAAGAAUUUGAUGUUUUAUGAAAAUUUGGAGGAAAUCAUGUGUUUUGAGGCUCAAUUCGAUGUAUAUGAUGUUAUUUUGGCAAUUUGAUCUCACGGAUAAGUUUGUAGGAUUUUUUGAGGCUGUGUGCAUAUUUGGUUUGGAGCCCCGAGGGCUCGGGUGCGUUUUGGAUAGGUGUCGGAUUGCAUUUUUGAACUUGUAAAACAUGGUAUUUUUCCUUCUGUGAUUUUCGCAUUUGCAAAGAAGAGACUCGCAAUUGCAAACUUAGAAAUGCAAGUUCUGCAUCACAAUUGCGAAACCUUGGACCUGGAAAAUGAUCGCAAAUGUGAUCUAAUUCCUCGCAAACUCGAAUGAGGGAUUUCUAGGCACCGAUCGCAAAUGCGAUCAUUGUGCUCGCAAAUGCGAAGCCAGGCUGAUCACAAAUGCUAUAUUUAUACUUGCAAAUGCAAUACCUACCUAAAAGGUAAGGGUUCGAAGUGCAAACCCCGCUUCGCAAUUUCCACUUUUGGUCUUCAUAAUUGUGACAUCAGAGACUCACAAAAUUCAUACUUAGUCGAAUUUCCACCAUUCUUUCAAGACCCAAAACCCAUAGGCAAUUUUUAAAGGACAAAACUUCUUCCAAACCACUUGUAUGUCGGUUUUUACUGAAUUCCUUCAAUCAUUUACAUCAUUUAACAUGUUUUCCACUUAAACCAAUGAACUUCAUGGAUGAAAUUGGGGGUUUGGUGUAGAACGUAGGUUUUGCUAAAAUUUGGGAUUUUGGACCUCAAUUUGAGGUCCGAUUUCAAAACAAAUAAUAUAUUUGGAUUUGUGGGGGAAUGGGUAACUGUGUUUUGGUUUGAACCCCGGGUUCGAUCACGUUGGCCUGGGUGCAUUUUGGUCAUAAUACCUAAAUUUGUGUCUUAGCUUUAAACUAAAUAGUGGAAUCAGUUGUUGAGAUGUUAUUUACAUUAUGUAUUGAAAUGAAAAGAUUUGGGCCAUUUGGAGUUGGAUACUCGUGGCAAAAGUGUGCAUUCAAGUUGAAUUUGGAGCCGGUUUGAGGUAAGGGCUUGUCUAACCUCGUGUGGGGGACCUUUCCCCUUAGGAUAAGUUAUUUGGUAAUUGAGUGCUUUGUACGUGAGGUGACGAGCGCGUACUUGAGCUAAUUGUUGAAUAUCUGGUUUUUUACUUCAGAUAUUAAGACUGAGUUUCUUUUCGUAUUUGCCUUAUUUUACUUGCAAGUACAACAUGUGUUAGAUUAGAAAAGCAUGUUUUGAUGAUUUAACUUUCCUAAUAGCUUAAGUUUCCUUGACGGUAUUACGUGAAGCAUGAUAGACUAGUACUACCUGUUGCUUGUCUUCUUUUUUACUUCAUUUCUAUAUAUCUUCUGGUUGUGGUUGUGCAUUUACUUUGGGACUACGGAUGUGGGAUUCCGGUAGCUCCCCCCUCCUUGUGUGUUUACUUUGGGACUACGGGUUAGAUUCCUGAUGAUCCCCCUUCACUUUAUUUUGGGACUACGGGCUAGAUUCUUGGUAGAUCCCCCUGGACUUUAUUUUGGGGCUAUGGGUUAGAUUCCUUGUAGAUCCCCCUGUACAUUGAUAGUUGGACCACGGGACAGUAUCCCAGGAAAUCCUUCAGAUAUAUUCACAUAAUGGACUGCAGGACGGUAUCCCGGAACCUCCUCAGAAAGUUGAUGGAAUUGACUACAGGACGGUAUCCUAGGAGAUCCUCAUUUGGCAUUUUGGUAUUUAGCUGUACAUCCCUCUGUUUACUUUGUUCAUCGCUUGUUUGUUGUUGCUUAGUAAAUUAUGUCUUAUUUCACUAUUGGUUCCCAUUGUUUUCAUAUGAUUUCAUAUUGUGCAUUCUGAUUAUAUUGUUUAAUCUCAGUAAGGCCCUGACCUUCUUCGUCACUACCCGACUGAGGUGGGGCUUGGCACUUACUGGGUAUUGCUAUGGUGUACUCAUGCCUUUUCUGCGUAUGUUUUUCAUGUUCAGAUCUAGUUUCUAAGGCACAUUAUCCCUGAGGCGAAGACGUCUAGAAGAGACUUCGAGGUACAUCUGUUGCGUCUGCAGACUAGGAGUCUCUAUCUUAUUCCAGCAUUUAGUAGAUAGCUUUCCCCUUCUUUCAGUUACUUAGACAUUCUUGAGUUAGAGCAGCAUAUUACGUUUCUAUUAGCCAAUGUUACCCGUGAGUUUCUGGGUUUUGGGAUAUUUUUUAAGUUUUGUGAUGUUGAGUUGUAUAUGUCGAGCGCAUAUAUAUACAGUUUUCCUUAGUCGUUGAUUUUAAGUCUCUUUACUUCUGCAAGUUAUUUAAAUUUCCGCAUUAUCAGGCUUACCUAGUCAUAGGGACAAUGAGCCAUCACAAUAUGUUCAUGGAGGGAAAACUGGGGUCGUGACACACGGUCGCUUAAACCAUUACAAUUGGCAUAUUAUCUUAUUAAAAUAAAUGUUCAAACCUAUAUUGCAAUUUUAAAUUAUUUACCGCUUUUUAAUUAAUUUUAAAGAAGAUUGAACGUUGUUUAAAAUAUGUCUUCUGAUUGUGUCACAUGAAAUACACCCGCAAUCUGAAACACAUUUUAUUCAACAUUUUAGGAUUUGGAUUUUAGUAUGAAAUGCAAACUCGAGUUUAAGAAGUUUAAAUAACGCGCCUAAAAGCAACUAACGCAUUGAUAACUUUGCGGGAGGCCACGAAAAGUCGCUAAAUGGCACGUCCCGAGUUCUAAGGAUUUUAAAAAUAUAAUUAAAGAGGGCACGCAAUUUAUGAUUUUAGUUGGCACGGCGCACCUCAAUUUAAAAGGACAUUCGAACUAAUAUUCGGAGAACUAUUAUUAUCUAUUAUGGUUCAACUCGUAUUCUAAUUUAAAGACUUAAAUAGUUAACAUCAACUAUAGCUAAAAUUCUAAUUAAUUUUCAUGGGAAAAUCUAAUUGACUUAACAAGAGGGGCUAGGCCCAACACCAAUAAAUUGGCAGCCCAAUAGGAAAGAAACAACAUUCAAAAGGAAUAGAAGGUUUGGGCCCCCAAGAUCAAGCCUAGAUCCGAACAAUGACCAUUUCAAUUAUAAAGAAAUCCUUAGCUCGAAUCUGCUGCUUAACUUAGAAAGCCCAAUACUCAUAUUUUAAUUUUAGACCAUUAAACUAAAUAAAACAUUAUUCCAUGUCUUUUAUAGCCAUGGGCCUAAGGAUGAGCCUAGUUCACAUUCCAAACGCCUUGAAUAGAUCUGUGCUAUACGAAACGCCACAUGAAUGAGGGCAUAAAUUUUAUUGGGCCUGGCCUUGGAUCCAAAUGCGGGCUCCGUUACGCCCAACUCAAAUAAGGAAGGUAUUACGGGGUUAAAUCCGGGCAAACGCAGGAAGAACAAAUUUAAACUAAAGAAUCUGACCUGGGCUUUUAACCUAUUGGACUAACACUUCUUUUUCUAAAUGGGUCAUAAAAAUAUCCAAGACUCAAACAACCCAUUAGCCCAAUUAAGACUUGGAACAAACUAACCGAAAUAUAACCAUUUUAGAAAUUUUAGUCCUAGACUACUUAACCUAUUAACCAGAACUGAAUUAGUGAAUUAAAUCAAUGGACUAGUGUUACUAAUUAAAGAAACCAUAUAAAACUAGUCAUGCUUGAACAGGUGAUUGCAGAAAAACUAAAACAAAAAUGAACAAAAGCAACUUGAAAUCAAAACAAACUUAUGAACUAAAUGAAAAUCAAACAAACUAAAACUAAAGAGGAUAUUAAAUGACGAUUAGCCUAGAUAUGAAAAAGUAAAAAAAAAAGAAGAUAGAAGGAAAUAAUAAAAGUAAGUGAAGAAAGAGAUCCCGAACACACUUGUCUAAGAUAGGUAAGUAAAAACCUGGAAUCAACCCUUUGAGUAGCCUUGUUAUGGGUUGAAUUAGACCUUAAUCGUGUCUUCUCGAUGAAAACACACGGCUAAAGUUCAAUUCAAACCCAAACUUCAUCCAACUUAUCAUUUUGAAUUUUUAGGGUUCAGACCUUCGACUUAAGAUACGGGCAGUUCUGAAGGAUUUUGAAGCGGAUGGAGUGGGUAUUUGGAAUGAGUGGAGCUUGGGGGAUUAUUUGGUGUUAGUUUGGUGGUGGUUGGUGGUGGCGCCGCCACCGGAGAAAACAAGGGUGGCGCUAGGGUUUGGAUUUAUGAUCUGAAAUUCGAGCAGGUCAGCUCAGGUCUGAUUUGAUGGAAAGAGGGAGGUGAGGUGAGUCUCUGGUGUAAAUUUGGGCACAAUUGACCGUCGGCCGCCGCUGUAGGCGAUUUCUGGCAUGUGGCGGUUGACGGCGGAGCUCGGUGGAGUGUCUGAGGAAUUGAGAGAGAUGAAUGGGGGUAUGGGGAAAUGUUUGGACAUUUAAAUUUUAAAUGACCCAAGCUUCAGUAACGUCCGAUCAAGAAACCUCGACAGUCCUGCUAUAGCGUCAAUAAAACGGGGGUCGUUGGGGAAAAGAGGAUCUUGGACAUCGUUUCUGAGGGGCUAGGUUGAGUGUUUCUUGACGGGUUCAGGGGGAUUUUAGUUAUUGGGCUUAGGGCUUGUUUGGUCCAGGACUGGCCCAAUUUUAAACUUCUUUCUUUUAUUUUCUUUUUAUUUCAUCUUUUCUUUUUCUUUUCAAAAAAAACUAAAAUUAAACCUAGAAAACUAAAUUAACCUACUAAAUCAUAUUUAGCUCUAGUUAAUAAUCAACACCAUUAAUUAAAUAUCAAUUAAAAGGAGAAUUAAACAAAGCAAAUAAAUCAAUUUUUUGUUAUUUUUAUAUUUUGGUAAAACCCUAAUUACUAAUUAAUCUAAAAUAUAUAAAAUUAAAUCCUAAAUGCAAACGUAAUGCGUACUUUUGUAUUUUUUAUGACUUUAUGUUAAAUUAAAAAUGCACACAGUAAUGCAAAUAAACAUGAAAAUUAUGCAAUUAAAUCCUAAAAAUCAAAUAAUUAAAAGAAAAAUCCUAAAUCUAAGAAUUUGCAAGAGUAAUUCAUGCGAGGCAAAAUUCACGUGCUGAUAGCGAUCGCAGAAAACACUUCGAGAUCACGAAGAACAACAAUGCUUCCCCACGAAUUAAUUUUACGAGAACGCGGAAACCUCAGUAUGAAUAUGAUGUACUGGUCCUCAGACUUCCACGAUCGCACAACCACUCACGUGUUCACAUAGCACAACGCGAGUGACCCAUCUCCUGCCUCAUAUCCUCUUCGCCAACAUGGCUAUGCCCACCCAUUCACGUUGCUAGGCCUGGACAACCUACGCGAUCGCAUACUCCUACUUGCAAACGCAUAAAGUAAAAUCCCCAGCUGCCCCAAACAAGCAUUCACGAUUGUGUACCUACCCACGUGAUUGCAUAGAAAGAAUCACCAGCAAUCUUCAGUAGUCUUCCAAAUCCAAUUUUCACUUGGUUAACCAUCCAAAAUUCACCUGAGACUCCCGACACCUCAACCAAACAUACCAACAAGCCCAAAAAUACUAUACGAACUUAGUGGAUGUAUCAAGUCACAUCCUACAAUGCAAAUACAACAAACCUUACAUUGAUUAAGGUCUAAUGAACUUUUUGAACUUCUAACUUAAGUAUUUGAUGUUGAAACCUAUCAAUUCUCAUUUGUUUGACAUAAAAGUUUUCACACAAGUCGCAAAUGACACAACGAACCUACUCUAACUCAAGGUACCCCAAUCCGAGCAUGUUAAUCACCAAGUUAACUCUCGGUCAAACUUCUAAAUUACCAACUUUAGCCAUUUCAAGCCUAAUUCAACUACAGCCCUCUAAAUCACUAUAUCAACAUGCUCCUAAGUCCAACACUAUAUCAACAUGCUCCUAAGUCCAAAUCACCUAUCUAAGAUAGUGGAACCUUCAAUACUCCAUAUCGGAGCCAUUUACACACAAGUCAACAUCUGGUCAACCUUUUGAAUUUAAAAUUCAACCUUGAGUCAAAGUAUCUCAACUUAUUCUGAAACCUCCCUGUAACCGAACCAACUACUGCGACAAGUCACAUAGAAACUAUUAAGAAUAAAAUGAGCAGAAAAUGAGGGAAAGGGGCUACAACUCUCAGAAUGACUUUUUGGGUCAUUACAUCCUCCACGUUUUAAACAAAUAUUCGUCUUCGAACAGGUCUAGAAACACACCUGGAGUUUUAAAUAGGCAUGGAUAUCUUCUUCACAUAUCUCGCUCGCUCUCCCAAAUAGCCUUCUCAAUGCGCAGACCUCUACACUACACUUCCACUAAAAUUAUGUCCUUUGACCUUAACAUCCGAACAUGCCGACACAAAAAUGGCUACCUGCUCCACAUCAUAAGUCAAAUCACCACCAACUUAAUUGUAUUGAAACAUAAAACAUGAGACGAAUCACCUACAUACAUCCAGAGCAUAGAAACAUGAAAUACUAGAUGCCCACUCGACAGACUAGGUGGAAAGUCAAGCUUGUAAGCCACUUAUCCAAUCCUCUAAAGCAUCUAAAACGGCCCAAUAUACCGAGGGCUCAACUUUCCUUUCUUCCUAAACCUCAUAACACUCUUCAUCGGUGAAACCUUGAGCAGUACCCUCUCCCAAACCAUGUAAGCAACAUUACAAACCUUUCAAUCAACAUAACUCUUCUGUCUAAACUUCACCGUGCGAAGCCGAUCCUGAAUCACUUUAACCUUGUCCAAAGCAUCCUUAACCAAGUCAAUACACAAUAGCCUAGCCAUACUCAGAGUAAACCAACCCACUGGUGACCGACACAAUCUCUCAUACAAAGCCUCAUACAGAGCCAUCUGAAUACUCCAUUGGAAGCUGUUGUUGUAGGCAAACUCAUCGAGUAGUAGAAACGUAUCCCAAGAACCCCCGAUAUCUAUUACACAAAAGCAUAUCCUCCAAUAUCUAAAUUGUGCACUAGGACUAUUCAUCCAUUUAAGGGUGAAAUGUCAUACUUAACUCAACCUGGGUGCCUAAUUCUUGCGACACUGCUCUCCAAAACUGCUAUGUAAACUUUGUGCCUCGAUCUGAAAUGAUGGACACAUACCAGCACAACAUGAAGCCUAAAAUUCUCACAGAAGUAAAUCUAAGCUAGCCGCAUUGAAAAAUAAGUAGUCCCAACUAGAAUGAAAUACGCGAACUUGGUCAACCGAUCCACAAUCACCUAAAUAGCAUAAAACUCCUAGAAGUUCGUGGGAGUCCAAAUAUAAAUUCCAUGAUGAUGCGCUCUCAUUUCCACUCUGAAAUCUUAAUCCUCUCAAUAAAUCCACCAGGUCUCUAAUACACACGCUUUAACUACUAAUAGUUUACUCACCAAGACACAAACCUCACUAUAUCCUUCUUCACCUUCAUCCAAUAAUAAUGCUACCUCAAGUCAUGUUACAUCUUCGCAGCAUCCAGAUGAAUGAAAUACCACAUCCUAUGGGCAUCUUCAUGAGUCAAGUCACGUGGCCCAUCUACAUUAGGCACACAAAUCUGACCCUACAUCCUAAAAACCUGAUCAUCCCCAAUAGUAACUUCCUUGGCAUCACUGUGUUGAACUAUAUUCUCAAGGACAAGUAAAUUGGGAUCAUCAUACUAGCGCUCCCUGAUGCGGUCAUAUAAGGAAUACUGAGAAACCACAAGGUAGAACUCUACUAGGCUCCGAAACAUCAAAUCUCACAAAUAUGUUGGCCAAGCCCUAAACAUCAAUCGCGAGCGGUCUCUCACCAACAGGAAUAAAUGCAAGGCUACGCGUACUCAUCGCCUUUCUACUUGAGGCAUCCACCACCACAAGGCCUUACCAGGAUGAUACAGAAUAGUAAAAUCAUAGUCCUUUAAUAGCUCAGAAUAUGUGUCUCAAAUUUAGAUCCUUUAAUUUGAACAAGUACUGAUACUCUGAUGAUCGAUAAAUACCUCACAAGAGACACCAUAGAGAUAGUGUCUCCAAAUCAUCAAUAUAUGAACGAUGACAGCUAACUACAAAUUAUGAAGAUGGUAGUUCUCCUCAUACGGAUUCAACUGAUGUGAAGCAUAAUCAAUUACUCUACCCCUUGCAUCAAGACAAAACCAAUACCAAUUUAGGAAGCAUCACAAUACACUAUAUAAGAGCCUGACGCUGAAUGCAAAACUAUAACUGGAGUUGUUGCAGUCUUGAGCUUCUGAAAGCUUUUCUCUCACUCAUCUGACCGCCUGAAAGGAGCACCCUUCUAGCGCAAUUUCGUCAAUGGAGAUGCAAUAGACAAGAAACCCUCUACGGAGCGACGAUAAUAACAGGCCAAGCCGAGAAAGCUCUAAAUCUCAGUAGUUGAGGACGUCCUGGUCCAACUCUGAAUUGCCUAUAUCUUCUUUUUAAUCCCCUCACUAAACACCACGUGCCCUAAGAACGCCACUAAACUAAGCCAAAACUCACACUUGGAGAACUUGGCAUAUAGCUUCUCCCCCCUCAGCCUCUACAACAUAAACUUUAAAUGUUGUGCAUGCUUUUCCUGGCUAUAUGAGUACACCAAGAUAUCAUUAGUGAAUACUACGAAAAUGUAGUUGAGAUAUGGCUAAAAUACAAUGUUUAUCAGAUGUAUGAAUGUUUCUGGGGCGUUGGUCAACCCAAAAGACAUCACAAGGAACGCGUCGUAACUAUAACGAAUCUCGAAUAUUGUCUUUAGAAUAUCUGAGUCCCGAAUCUUUAACUAGUAAUGCCCAUGCCUCAAAUGAAUCUUAGAGAUCACUCUCGCUCUCUGAAGCUGGUCGAACAGAUCAUCAAUAUACGAAAAAGGAUACUAGUUCUUAAUUGUAACUUUUUUCAACUACAUAUAGUCGAUGCACAUCCGCAUAGUACCACUUUCUUCUUCUCAAACAGAAUUGGUGCACCCCAAGGCGACACACUAGGCCUAAUAAACCUCUAAUUAAGAAGUUCCUGAAGCUGCUCUUUCAAUUCAUUCAACUCAGCUGGUGCAAUGCGAUGAGCGGGAAUAGAAAUACGCUAAGUGCCCGGGACUAACUCAAUACCAAACUUAACAGCCAUGUCAAACGACAAGCCAGCAUGUCUACAAAAAACACAUCCAGAAAAUAUCGAACCAUCGGAAUAGAAUCAAUACUAGGAGUAUGUGCACCAACAUCCCUCACAAAGGCCAAAUAAGACAAAUAGUGAUUCCCAAUAAUUAGUUGGGCCUUCAAAUAUGAAAUCACUCUGCUAGGAAGAUAAUCUACGAAACCCCUCCACUCGAUCCUUGGCAACCCUGGCACUUCCAACAUUACAGUUUUAACGUAUUAAUCUAGAAUAACAUGACAUAGAGAAAACCAAUCCAUACCUAAAUUCACGCUGAAAUCAAAAAUACUAAGAAAUAAGAGAUCCACUCUAGUCUCCAAUCCCCCAACACUAACUACACAUGACCGAUAUACAUGAUCCACAAUAAUAGUAAUGCCCACCGGCGUAGAUACAUGAACAAAUGAAACUAAGGACUCAUGGGGAAUAUCUACAGAACAAGGAAAAUACGAUAAUAUAAAUGAAUAAGUGGAACUAGUUUCAAAUAAUACUAAGACAAUACAUGUGAUCACUAAUUCUAAAGAAACAACAUCUGGGGUGGUAGAAAUAGAAUAGAAUCGGGCUUGGCUGCCACUUGAUCGGCCUCCCCCUCUUGGGCGACCUCUAGCUGCCUGGGCCCCACCUCGAGCUUGCUAGGUAGAUGAUAAGGUAACUGGUGCAAAAUUUAUAGCCGGAUUCUUCUAUUGCACUGGUUUCACUAGUGGUAGGGAGAUUAUCUCAACAUAUCCCCAAACUCCCCGCACUUGUAAAACUCCUCUAUGGUGGUGGUUGAUAAGUGGGGAUUUUAACUACUUAGUAAUGCCUUUUAACUUUUUUUUUAGUUUGAAAGUGUUUAAUUGUGUUCCCAAAAUUGAUGAAAUGUCAAAAACUGCAAGAAUUUUAGAAGAUGGACUCCCGAGAUGAAAUCCAAUUCAAAAAGGAGUAAUCUAAACUCAAGGUCAUAAAUGGACCAAAAGCUCACAAAUGCUGACCGCAGAAUUUCAUCUGUGGCCGUAGAUGAUGAAGGAAAGACAGCAAACCUUUGUGCAAAGUGAUGUAUGGACGCAAAAGAUUUCUAUGUACAAACUUCAAAAAAAGUGCAAAGUUGCAAGUUUCCAAGUCCUUAAAAGUGCGGGGCACACAGAAAUUAUGUGGCUAUAGAAGAAGUGCCUUGCAGCUGCAGAUGUAAAAGUGCAGACCACAACAAGAAUUCCUCCCGGCCGCAAAUCAGAAUUAUGCGAACCUCUAGUUCCUAACAAGUUGAAUAAAUCUCCGAACGGCACAUGGAAUUGUGCGGCCGAUAACCUCCCAAAAGGCAUUUUUGUCCAAAAUAUCUAGCCUUGAAUAAAUAGAUCAUAUUAACAAAAUUAGGUCAACUUUCGAUAUCAGCAACUAUCGUAGUCGUUUCUCUUUGAUUCUUUUAGCAGAUUUCCAUAUUUUAGAAUACUUUAUAUAAAUAGUGUCAUUUUGAUCUUCCAGUAUCAGUUUAAUUAGCAUAUCUUUUUCUAUUUCUUCAAUUUCAAGCAUGAGUAGCUAGAUUUUAACUAGUAUUAUGACCCAACCCUAGAGUAUAAACCUUAAGGGUGUAUUAUUUAAUGUUUCUUUAUGGUUAGAUGUUUAUUAUUUAACCUUAUUCAUGCUUUAAGUUAUGGAAUUAAUAGUUGCAAAUAUUUGUUCAGGCCUAUUAGACUAAGUCUCUACUUGAGAAAAAGGAGACUUAGUCCAAGAAAACUUGGCUAACAAGAAAUUGGUCAAUUGAGAGAUUGAUAAUCCCAAUUAAAUGGUUCAACGUAGAGAUAGUAAUAACCCGACUUGAUCUUUUAUCAACCGUUUUGAGCAAUACUCAUUUGGUUUUGAGAAAGUUAAAUUGGACAAAAUCACUCCCUAGCCGAGAGGUAUUGAGUGGGUAAUUGAGGGUUGAUAGCUAUAAUACACCCUGAUCAACAAAGUAAGUAUUAAAGUUUAUAUCCCAUAAGGCAAAUACCUAGGUGAUGGUCAUAGCCCUGGGAUUUUUUUUCAAAACUUGAAAAAUAAUAAUUUCUUGAAUAACUCAUCCUCAUGCCGGAUCCCUGGUAGGAACACUUAUUUGCAUCAUGCAUUUGACUUAGGGGACUCAACACAGGGGUUGGGUCCGUGUAGGACAGGUGUACCCACUUUAAAAGACCAUCCUGAUGCAUUUUAUAUGCCACGUGUUGCAUUCUUUUCAAGGAUAAACGGGUCAUUUGGCGGAUCAAUAAUAGCUGAGGGUAUAUGAAAAAAUGAGAAAAAACAAGAAAAAAAAUGAAAAAAGAAAAAGAUAGGGUGAAGUGUGAAAUAAAGCAAGUAGGAUCUAGUUAUGUUUUGUUACAUUUUUUAAAAAAAAAGGAAAAAAGACAUACAUAAAAAAUCAAAAAAGAUUUUGCACUUUAUAUUAUUUUUCAAAAAACAAAAAGGGGGAAAAAUAAAAUUCAAAACAUUUUGCGUGUUUCAACAUUAUACAAGAAAAAGCAAAAAAAAAAGGAAUGUUUUCUCUAAAAUUAGCUGCUUUUUUUAUUUCUUGCACGUAUCAAAUUUGCCCGAAAAAUGCAAACUUGAUUCUCGUCUUUCGGGGCGUGAUACGUAGUCAACCUACAUAGGGUCCGGUUUUCUAGUAAAGUUUUUGGUUCUUGGCUUUGCAGGGUCAUAGUCAAAUUUUGCACUUCUAGCCACUUUUAGCCACAUAGGUUAGUAUUAGAAUUGAGAAGUUGUUUGUUGGAAAUUGUGUGAAUUGAGUUAUGUCAAUGGACUCUACUAUUAAAAUUCUUAGAGUUCAAGUUGGAAUGCUCUUGUCAAACUUCAUUUAUGCUGGCGAAAGAUCUGUUGAGAUCAGUCUUUAUUUGAUGGAGCAUUGUUUUUGUGAUUUCAGUUCAAUCUACGAAUUGUUGGUGGCGCCAUGUUUGAAAGUAAAUCAUGCAUUGUACACCAGUUAUCUUUGUGGUGAAGUUAUGAAGCUUGUUUGUUAAAAUUUUGCCACUAGUUAUGAAAAAGUUUCUGGAAAAAACUUAUAGCUGAAUAUCUCCUAGCUUGAACCUUGCUACAAUUGGUUUCUAAUAGUUGUUGUUGUCUUUGAGUUUAAUAGAGGGGAUUCAGUUGGACUAGAGAUCGAGCAGUUUGAAUUGUGAUUUGGUUGAGCAUAUAGUGAGCUUAAUCUGCCGAAAAUUGGUAUCCGUUGAGACUGUGCUCGAGUUCAGCAGUGAUAGCUUAAAAUAUGCUUUUUACUUCUAAAAAGUUCUCUUUGUUAAAUUAAGUGCUUUUAUAACAUAAACUAUUGUCCAGUUUGUUGGAAUCUACUGACAGAAGUUGCAUGUUUGCUGGAAAAUAAUUUACUGUCUGUUUUCUGUUGCUGAAAAGGAUUUCAUACGUGCUAUCCACAGCCUUGCAUUGUUCAUUUUUCGCUCAACAAUGGAGAUUUUCACAUUUCUUUAAUUGAUUGAUGUUACUAUAGUUUUUCAUAACAUUUGACGGAAUUUUGCAAAAGUUUUGGCUUCAGUUAACUUAAUUAUUUCUUCAGUUUUCAUGCCAACAAUACACUAUUGAAAUUCAGGUUUUGAGCUAUUUUCUUUAAAAGCAUAUCCUAUACUAUUCAGCUGUACUUUGUGGUUAUUCUGACUCAAUAUUGCUAUGAUUCUAAUGCUUUGUUUCGACAAUUGAGGUCUUCAUUCUAGGCUAAAACUUUAUCUGCCUACUGCUGCUGAAUUUAGUGCUCAAGGUGUUGCUAAAGUUUUGAGUUUUGCGAAGCAAUUGAAUAGCGAACCUGUCGCCUUGUUUGAAUCUUAGAAUUUUGCAUUUAAAUUAAAUUUGUUGAUGUAAUACAAGUUCUCUAUGCAUUAUUUCUAUUUUUCUACAACAUUUUGUAAACCUUAAACUAGGUUGGACAUUAGAACUUGUUUGAAGAAUUUUGAACUCAAAUAAGAAUUAUUUGGACUGUUAUUGAAGGUUGUUGAAAGAACGUUGAAAAUUUGCACUUUUGCACCAAUUAUCUAGUGAGUGCAAGCUGAUUUUUCUGCACCGUUGAGUUCAACUGAUUACAAAUAUUUUGGUGAUUCAGUUAACAGGGAUUAAAAGCUGACAAAUAUUGCUUAAUGUUACUUUGUUUGUUGCUGCUAGUUUAGUUUGGUGCUAGUUAGUCCAGCAGGCUAUAAAUGUCAAUCAGUAGAGUUGUCUGUAGCACAAUUUUUGCUUGGUUCUAUGUUUUAAUUACAUUUUGAGUUUGAUCCUACACGGUUGCUGAGUUUCAAUUAGUAGUCAAGUUACAACCGUGCUAUGUUGAUUCUCAUUCACGUUUUAGCAUGUAAAUAUAUUUAUUAAGUUUAAUCUCGGUAUUUUAGUCUUUAUUUCACCGUAUAGUUGGUUUAUUUAGCAAAAAAAAACCAUAAAAAGAGUUACAUUUUUUUAGAGUAUUAACUUUAUUCUCAUGUACAAAGAAAGUAGAGUUUCAAAAAUAUAGUCUGAUCUAGUAUCGUGAUUUUAUUUAGUUGUAGGAUUUAGGGAAUACUUAGUAAUGGCAGUAGUUAUUUUUUAAUAUAGUUACUAUUUUUUGUGGUUGAUUUUUGCUAUUUUAAUUUAGUAGUAUUUAGUUUCUAGUUUUUGUUACUUUUGAUCAUCCUUAAAGCAAAUUAAAAAUGAUGAAAAGGAAGAAGAGAAUGAUGAAAAGGAAGAAGAGAAAGUAGAAAGUAAAGAAUUAAAAAACAAAGAUUUGUUUUUUUGGGAUUACUACUUUUAGAAUGAUUUGUUGAGGUUUGCAAAUGUUUAUGAAAAUGGCUUGAAAUGUGUUGAGGCUGCAAAGUUGUUUGGUUAAAUUACCAUUGCUUCAAUUGUUGAAGAACAUGACUCGGAAGAUUACCAUUAGACUACAACUUUGUCAGUCAUUGUGAGGAUGUCUAGAAUUGCAGAAUUGACCAGUUUUUGCAUAUGUGACCAUCUUUUGUAAAUAUUUUGGCCGUCAGCUAGUAGCUUAUAUUUAAAAAGGGUCAAGAGUUAAUAAUGUUGGAUUUUUAUCUUUGUUGCUUAGUAUCAUAUGGUUUUGGUGGUAUUGAAAUCCUUUCAAUUUGAUUUUCAAAACAAAAUGUUUUUUUUGUUUCUUAGAGCUUUCAUGGUUUGAGUUGUAUAAAAAUAAAUAAAAAAUGAGUUAGUUUAUUCGCUCCAUUUUAGAUCUUCCAAAACUACGCAAAGGUCUGAUUCAUACGGGGUCAUGAUACAUAGGCAACCUACAUAGGAUUCGAUCGAAUUAUUUUAUUUUAAAAAAAAAGAGAUAAAGAUAAAAAUAAAAAAAAUAAAAAAAGGGAUGUAAUUAUGGGACAUGAAAAUUAGAUGUAAGAAGAGAGUGAUAAUCAGAAGGGAAAAGAAGAGGGUAAAUGAGCAAGAAAGUGCCAGAAAAACAAAGAAAAACAGAGGUUGAAAUGAGCAAAUUGGGAUGAUGCCAUAUAUACCUUCAAACCAUGUUAGAACCGGUAACUGUGACUAGGUACACUACAUGCAAUAUGAUAUUUUAGCUGAUUAAUAUCCUAAUGCUAACAAGAUGACUUCAUUUAGUUAUACUCAUAACAGAAGGGUGGUUGGUUUGUGGUUUUUAAAAUAGUAACUCUCCUCCACAACACAAAGUCAAAGGCAAUGGCGGACAACGAUAGAACUGAGUUGGGCGAUACCGGGGCCCGAAAGCAGUUGGUUUGACCAGAACAGUUGGUUAAUUGAAGAGGUACAAAGGUUGAGACAACACAUGGCAGAAAUGUAUCAGGCUUGGAUGAUUGACCAUAAUAGUGGGUUAAUUGAAGAGGCACAAAGAUUGAGACAACACAUGGAAGAAAUGUAUCAGGCUUGGAUGACCGGGACAACACCACCCCCGCCACCACCCAGCUGCUUAGAUGCUACCCUUCUCCAAACUCAGAUCAUGGUUUCGAAUGAUUCUCCAUACUCUCCAGAUGCACCCCCUUACUACAGUUUUUCCAACCACCCCAGUAGCUCCAUCACUUGCCCUCCAAAAAUCCCCAACAAUGAAUAUUUGCUCAGAGCUCAUGAUAUCCAAUGCUAUCCCGUAAAGGCGGCCAACAAGGUUCCUGACUCGUACAAGCAGAGCCUGUAGGAUGAGCCUCAUAUUGAGAAUGAAAAGUUCACAAGAAGGGAAAGGCAAGAUGGAAUACCCCGGAGGCUGGCAGGCAUAAGACAGUCCUUGAAGAACAAGCAAGGAAUGUAAGACCAGGGUAAUAUGGCUUGCGAAGAGUUGUUUGUAUCCCUGGCAUUCGCCCAUCUACUGGGUUCAAAGUGCCAAAAUUUAUCUUGUACGAUGGGUGUCCGGAACCGGUAGACCACCUGAGGGUUUAUUGCAGUGAAAUGAGAAGCGUUGGAGAGAAAGAUGACCUGUUGAUAGCAUAUUUCAGUAAGAGCCUGACGGGGGUAGCUUUGGACUGGUAUACUCGUCAAGAUAUCAGUAAAUGGCCUACAUUCGGUGACAUGGCUCAAGAGUUUGCUCGAUACUUUCAAUAUAAAGAAAGUAUUACCCCAGAUCGCUCUUCCCUAUCUAAAAUAAAAAGAAGAAGGAGAAAAGCUUUAGGGAGUUUGGGCUUAGAUGGAAGGCGCAAUGGUGCAUUAUAUUUGACAGAUGGGGAAGGAAAAUAUGUAGAAAUGGCUAUCAGUUUUCAUGCAGUCAAGAGAUACUAUGUAUGGUUCCUUUGUCUGAUUGUACUUGCUUGUAUAGGCAAAUUUGGAAGAUUGAAAUGACGAAGGCAUUUUGUUCUACUACCUAAAUACUUUAUCCUUUGGUAACCAUUUUGAGCUUUAAUUAUUUUCUUUCAUACCCCUCUUUCGAAAUCAGUAACAAAAGUCACAAACGCAAGUGUGAGAAGGCAAUAAAAGGAAAGGAAAGGAAAGAAUGAAAAUAAUGAAAAAAGAAAAAAAGAAAAAGAGAAAAAAAGGAAAAACAAGAAAAGAAAAGAGAAAAGAGAAAAAAGAAAAGAAAAAGGAAAGACAGAAAAAGAAAACAAAACAAAGAAAAAAAAAGAGAGAAGAAAAACAAAAAAAAAAAGAGAAGAAAAACAACAACAAAAAGAAGGAAUCGGUAUGAACUACGUUUGACCUGAUUCCUUUUAAAAGGAUAUGUAGGCAGCCUCACGGUUCGGUCUCAUCAAAAUAAAUAACCAAAGUCCCCAAGCAAGAAAUUGGGCAAGAAGUUGUGGUUGUUGUAAGAAAAGAUUUUCGAAAGUUGUAAGUUUUAAACCCAUUUGAAUUGUUUUGAGCCUUUGAUACCCUUUCUUUCCAACCUUAUCCAAAAGCCUAUGUUACCAUCCAAAGAAAGACCUUCUGAUCACUCUUCAAGAGAUGCCAAGUUGAGUUAGUAUAGGUGAUACAUGUCAGGGCAACACAACGGUCCAAGCAGGAAAGAUAAUAAGAAUGACAGAGUCUUAUUGGUGAAAAUCCUCACGGGCACCGUAAGGAGACGAGAGCUGAGAGAAAUAAAAAAAUUGAAAAAAUGAGAGAGUCUUAGUGGUGAAAACCCUCAUGGGCACCUUGAGGCGACUGUUAGUUGAGAGAAAACAACAAAAUUAGAGAGUCUUGAUGGCUAAAACCCUUUGGGCGCUACAAGUCGAAUAAGGAUUGUGAAUCAGAUUGGAUAACCGGAGCAUUGAAGCCCAGCUUCAUAGUCUGGGGAGUAUAAUAAGAGUUGAACAACAGAUUUUCUUAACACAAUAGGCCGCAGGUGCAUGUCAUGGUAAUUAGAGUUGGUACCUGCAUUUUAUAGGUUUCUACUUUCUAGGUUUUUUGUUAAGAAUCAUCUCAUUUCCUUGUCCUCUACUCUGUUCCUUUUGUCUUGUUUACUCCCUCCUCUGGAGUUUGUCGGGUCAAAAAAAGUGAGAAAUGACUUCAAAAUCUGCCACCAGCUUUCCAAUAGCACAAAAGGGGACAUGUUUGUCACAUCAAAGCAAUUUAAGUCAGGAAAGAACAACAAGCACAUUGAGCUGGUAACAAUCAACAUACUCUGGGAAUCAUUUGAUAUACAAAGGCUCUGUAUAUAUAAAAUCAUGGAAAACGCAGCAGAACGAAGGCUAGGGUGAAUGGAUCAAAGGUGCUUUCAGUGACAAGAAGGGUGGUAAACCAGUGACAAGCAAGAUCUUCCAAGAUGAAAUCGAAGUUAUCAUGGCAAGCGAUGGAGAAAUAGACCUCAAGGUCAGAGCCAGUGAUUUGGGUCAGAAAAGAACAUCAUAUACAAUGUGGUGGGUAAAUAUGCUUUGGGGGUCAGGUGAAACACAAGGGUUUUGAAGAUGUCAGUCCAGGAACAAUGCAACAGACAGAAGGUAUUGGGUUCGAAUGAGAAGAGAUAUUUUUAUGGGUUAAGGUUCACAAAGGAAGUGGUUAGUCAAGGGGCAAACAUGGUCUUCAAAUGAAAAUCAAUUAUCAUGACAAGUGAAGGAGCAAUAGACCUCAAGGUCAAGGCUAUUGGUUUAAAUUACUAAAAACAGCAUACACAUGAAAUGGGGGGCGAUGAACGUGCUUUAGGAUUCAUGAGGGACACAAAGGUUGGGAGGAUUUCAGUUCAUCAACAAUGCAACAAAUAAAGGAUAUCGGGUUUGAACGGAGAAGAGGUAUUUUCGGUGAUAAGGGUGACAGAGAAGUUUGUCAGCCAAUAAGCAAGCCAUGUCUUUCAGGGUGAAAUCAAAGCUGCCAUGGCAAGUGAAAAGUUGCAACACAAAGAUGGGAGGGCCACAGGAGUUCAGGGAUCAGCCAAGCAUCAUAAACUGGCCGGGUAACCUCAGGAAAGGAUGUGAGAAUUUUAGCAAAGGGUCGGAAAUACAACACAAAGAUGAGGAGCAGAGUGAAGGUACAAGGGUUCAGGGGUCAGCCAAGCAUCAUAAACUAGACGGGUAACCUCAGGAAGGGCAUGAAGAAUUCCGGCAAAGGGUCGGAAGUGCAACACAAAGUAGGGAGCAGAGUAAAGGCACAAAGGACAAGGUCCAACCAAAUAUCAUAGAGAGACCGGAUGAUUUCAUGGAAGGGUGCAAAGAUUUUGGCAUAGGAGUGGAAAGGCAACACAAACUUGUAGAACAAAGUAAAUCCACAAGGUUCAGAGGGUUGACCAAAUCAUAAUACAUUAAUUCAUCAAUCAUCGGGGAAGGACAUAAUGGAUUCCGGCAAAGGAUUUGGAAUGUAACACUAUGAUGCGGGGCAAAACAAAGCCUAAAGGUUUCGAAGGGUCAGCUAAGCAGUCCAAGCAACUCAUCACUGAUAUGGACAAUGGAAUACAAUGGAGCAUGAUAGUGGGGAGGCCGCUUUCAACAAGAAUGUCGCGGGUUAACCACCACUUUUCGAACUGACAAAUUAUCUUUGAUUAACACAGGGGAAAAAAAUUCUGGAAGAGCCUAAGGGGGAGGCUGCCCACAGGAGAAGGCAAGCACACGACAAGUAUGAUCAAAAUCUCAGGGCCCACCUGGAAGUGGGACUUAGUUAAAACUCGAAAAGGACAUAGUCCAUCUCAAAUAUCCUCCCCAAGUGAAGCAAUGGGACAAACUUUAACUAGCAAAACCCGAUAGAAACAACUGAAUGUUAAAAGAGCCAUGGAAAUUGAGAGUGAACGCAGUUUAUAACGCAAAUAGGUGUGGGAAACAUGGGCAAGCACCAACACCUUUCCCAGUAAGAGUCAUAGAAACCCUCCUGGACAAUAAUCACAAGCAGAAACAACUAGUAAUUAGAAUUGGUAUUUAAGUCGGAACCUUGAAGACCCUCUUGGAGAAUGGGACUCAUUUUAAGACUACGAGUAAUCAUGGAUACCAAAUGGCAUAAAAUGAGUUGCAUGCUUAAGUAUGAUUCAGUUAAAGAGUUGUCAGGACCCUCCUGAAAUAUGGGACUUAGCCUAGAACACAAACAGUCGGGUGGCAUGGCCAAACCCAAAUACUUCCCAAGCAAAGGUCAACAAAAGUCAUCCGGACACUCCUGAAAAAUGGGCCUUAGAUUAGAUAUUUCCCCAAUAACCUUAGGUUUAGAUAUAUUUGAUAAAGGGAUUUGAUAAACACUCACGGAUCCUCCCAGCAUCAAACUGGGGAAGGAAGAAUUUUUGUGUUUUGUUUGUUUUGUUGUGAUUAGGAACACAGGCAGCGGUCUCUGAGAAUACUAUUCAAGUUUGAUAAUCAGGCGCCCACCUGUAGAACAAGGGAAUAUUUUUAAAAAAUUCAAGUUUUGAAAAUGAGGCACCCACCCGUAAAAUAAGGGAAUAUUUUUCAAAAUUUCAAGUUGUGGUAAUUAGGCGCCCACCUGUAAAAUAAGGGAAUAUUUUUCAAAUUUUAAUGUUUGAUAAUUAGGCGCUCACCUGUAGAAUAAGGGAAUAUUUUUCUAAAAAUUCAAGUUUUGGAAAUCAGGCGCCCACCUGUAGAAUAAGGGACUAUUUUUCAAAUUUCAAGUUUUUGUAAUCAGGCGCCCACUUGGAGAUCAAGGGAAUAUUUUUCAAAAUUUCAGGCUUUGGCAAUCAGGCACCUACUUAUUAAAACAAGGGAAUAUUUUUCAAAAUUCAAGUUUUGGUAAUCAGGCGCCCACCUGUAGAACAGAGGAAUUUUUUUCAAAUUUCAAGGUUUGAUAAUCAGGCGCCCACCAGUAGUACAAGGGAAUAUUUUUCAAAAAAUUCAAGUUUUAGAAAUAAGAGCCCACCUGUAGAAUAAGGGAAUAUUUUUCAAAUUUCAAGUUUUGGUAAUCAGGCGCCCAUCUGGAGAAUACGGGAAUAUUUUUCAAAAUUUCAGGCUUUGGCAAUCAGGCGCCCACCUGUUAGAACAAGGGAAUAAUUCUCAAGAAUUCAAGUAUUGGUAAUCAAGCGACCACCUGUAAGGGAAUAUUUUUCAAAUUUCAAGGUUUGAUAAUCAGGCGCCCAUCUGUAGAACAAGGGAAUAUUUUUCAAAAAAUAAUCAUGUUUUUGAAAUCAGACGCCCACAUGUAGAACAAGAAAAUAUUUUUCAAAAAUUCAAAUUUUUGUAAUUAGGUGUCCACCUGUGAACAAGUGAAUAUUUUUCAAAUUUCAAGGUUUGAUAGUCAGGCGCCCACCUGGAGGACAAGGGAAUAUUUUUCAAAAUUUCAAGUUUUCUUAAUCAGGCGCCCACUUGUAGAACAAAGGACUAUUUUUCAAAUUUCAAGUUUUCGCAAUCAGGCGCCCACCUGUAGAACAAGGGAAUAUUUUUCAAAAAUCAAGUCUUGAUAGUUAUACUCCCAUCUGUAGAACAAGGGAAUACUUUUCAAGUGUAAAGUUUUGGUAAUCAGGCAUCCACCUGGAAGAACAAGGGAAUACAUGUCAGUUUCGUUCAAGCUUUGGUAAUCAGGCGCCCACCUAGAGAACAAGGAAACACAAGUCGAGUUCAGCAAUCAGGCAUCCAUUGGGAGAAAGGGGAAAACAUCUCGGAUUACAAGUCAACAACAAAAGAAGCUCACGGCGAGAAUGCAAGUCAACAGUUCGAGGUAAUCAACAAAAGUUAGUCAGAAUAAAGAAAAAAAAAGAAGAAAAAGGAAGGCAAGAUGGAAGUUAAUCCAAAUAAAAGCAUAUGAAAGAGGUGAAUUUCUCAAGGUAUGGUUUAGGACGCAAGCGAUACAUGUUCGAUCUUAAUUAAGAAUAGCUGCAGAAGAACGAGCUAGUACUUGCACAUAACAAGCGUCAAGGUUGAAAUCUAAAGUCGGAAUGAAGAACCACUCAAGACUCAAGAUCAAGCAUCAGAAGACUUAUAGAUAGGAAUCUUGUAACUCGUAGUUGACAGGUUUAGCAAGUCUUUCUCAUUCUUUUGAUUUUGAUGUAAUAACAGGACCGCGGACCGGAACCUAGGCAGAACGGCACCUCGACUGGAUCUUCGUCUCGGCAUGCUCUUUCGUCUCACUCACUCAUGAACUACACCGACCAGAUUCCUCUUUAGCCGAGGAUAUGUAGGCAACCUCUGAAGCAGGGUGCGGCCAAGCUUUUCAAAAGGCUUCCCAACGAAUAUUCAAGUGGGCAAAAAUCGCUCGUAUCCACUCACUUUAUCUUUGCAUGAAAAUCCUUCAGGUUUCCGAGCAAAGAGGGCAGCUGUGAGCACGUGAUUUUUUCCCUACAUGAGAAUAACUCUUAAAAAAACUAGUCCAAAUUUUUUUUUAUUAAUUUUAGGAAUUUUUCUUUAUUUUAGUUGCAUUUCAUGCAUUUUUAAUAUUUUCAAAUCAUAGAAAAGCCGUAAAAAAGUGUCACAUUUUUAAUUUUAUGCCACCUUAGAUUCAAUUUGCAUCUUGGAAUUAAUUAUAUUAAGUUAAUUGUGUAUUUAAAAAAAUCAUAAAAUGGUUAAUUUUGCACUUUUAAUUAUAGUCUUUGAAUUUCGGUAGUUUUCCGUUUAAUUUAGUUUUAUUUAUUGCAAUAAGUAUUAGUUGUAGUAAUUAGUUUAAUUUUAAAUUAGCUUGACUAGGAAUUACUUUAGGUGUUAUUUUUAGUUUUAAAUUAAAAAAAUUUGGAAAAUAUGAAAACAAAAGAGGUGAAUCAUAUUUUUGGGACAAAAUCUUAGUAAAAUUCCAGCCCAAUGCAAUUGCCUUUUUAAACCCAACCCAAAUCAGCCCCUACCCAACCCCAAACCGGGUCGACCCGACCCAACCCAAUACCCAAAUCCAUUUCCUAACCUAAAAUCCUAACACAUAAACAAUACACACAAGGCACACAAUACGGAAGAGAUACAGAGAGACGCCUGGGAGAGGGGUUGCACAGCUUUGGCUGCUUCUUAACAAAAAUACACGCCUAUACAGGCGAUUCACACACAAUAGAUACAGGAGGAUACACAAUACACGCCUGGAGGGGAAGGGCUGCACAGCUUUGGCUUCUUCGUAACAAAUGCACGCAGAUACACAUGAUACAAUACACACUGAUACAGGAGGAUACAUUGAAGGAAAAGAAGCUGCGCUGAGCAUCAUACCCACCCCCCUUGGAACUCAUCUUCCGCAUCGCACCCUACCUCAAACGCCAUCCUGAGCCAAGCAGCCAUCACCUUUAAUCUCCACCCUCUUUCCUCAACGACCAGCAACACCCUCUCCAACACACAUGGUUAGAAACAGUGAAGGAGAACAAAACUUGGUGAGGUCCCUGGUCAGAGAUCAGAAAAGAAAUAGAAAAUAAAGGGAGUUCGAUUGAGCCGACGAGCUUUUAAUUGGCAGAUCCGAGGUCGCCGCUGAGAUUCCGGUUUACGUCCAGUUGUCCGAUCUGAAACCCUGUUGAUUCUAACAAAUCUGAUAGCAUAAAUGUUCAGUAGUAAAGGUCCUGUCUUCAUCUAAAUAUCCUAAAUGCAAUGUUAUUUCUUUUAGUUGGUUUGUUUAAAUUAAAUGCUUUGUUUGUUCUCUUUGUUUAGCAUCUUCGAUGCUUUCCCUGCUUUCAAUCGUUUGUUUCCGUUUCACUGUAUUUUGGAUGCCUAAAUAUGGAUGUUCCCGAUUUGUUUUAGUAAAUAUGAUUCACUACAUAAAUUUUUGGUUCAUG
rnacentral:lncRNA from 1 species